CCUUUUUUUCUUCUGAGUCUAGUCUUUCCCUUCCUUGCUCUUAUUUUCAUCACCGUGCUUUCUCAUCUGUAGUAUCUGCACAACUUGGUACGAUCGUAUCAACGUACGUACGUACACGCGCUACACAAGAAGAAAAGCCACCAUACGAAUUGCUCACGACGGGGCACCCGCGAGAGACGGGUCCUGCCGUCCGGGAAAACCCCCCUGGCUAGAGAGCCCCCGGCCGAGCUCAACGACCUCCUGCUGCGCGGUCGCGUGGACUCGCGGCCGCGGGUCGGGAGUCGGCACGGCGGAUUUCCGAGUCCCCCGUUCCAUUUCCACACGUUGGACGACGAGGACGACGACGCGGGCGGUCAAAAGCCACCGCGCGAGGCACGGCCGGCCACGCAUGCAGGGUUGCAGACCGCAUCAUCAGCCCCGAGCCCAACCGCCAACACCACUCUCCCCCGUCCCCGUCCCCGUCCAAUCCAGCGCCCGCGCCAGGAAAACAACGCGUCGGCGGCUAGCGCCCAAUUGCCAACCCCGGCAAUCAAAAUCCCCCUCCCGCCCGCCACGCGCGGAGACCCUGACACUGACGAUGGCCCAACUGUCGCAGCAGGGCGCCCCAGCCCCCACCCACCAGCCGAACCGCACGCCACGCCCACGCCGGUGGUUAUCCGAUCGCGGGUUGGUGCGCGUCCUCGUUUGACCGGUUGAACGCCCUGCCCGCCGUCGGAUCCGAGCAACAUCGACGCCGUCCGUAGCAGAGCACAGUGGCCGCGCCGUGCGUCACGUCACGCACAAGUCCCGCUCACUUUCUCGUUACCUUCCUCAGCUGGAGUCCGGCCCGGUCGAGGGCACAAGCACCAGGCAGCAGCAGCGAUCGAGGCCUCCUCCUGCUUCUGCUUCAGCUUGAGCUUCAGCCGCCCCCCGCCUUUUAUAAAUCCCACGCCUGCGCAUCCUCUUUUGACAAAGAUAAGGUCAAAUUGCCUGAUUUGCUUGCUGCUUGAACUCGAGACUUGGUGAGGAGUGAGCAGUCGGUCUUCCUCUUCUCCGUCGAGGGGGGGAAUAAUUAAGCCAGCUGCCUGCCAGGGCCUCUUCCCCGCGGGGAAGAAGACAGGGGAUGAGCGGAGGAGGCAUGGACGGAGCUCCGGUCGCCGAGUUCCGGCCGACGGUGACGCACAACGGCCGGUUCCUGCAGUACAACAUCUUCGGCAACCUGUUCGAGAUCACGCACAAGUACCAGCCUCCCAUCAUGCCCAUCGGCCGUGGCGCCUACGGGAUCGUCUGGUACGUACGUUCUGCUCGAGCUUGAGCCAUGGCUGAUUGCUUGCGAGCUGCAGAAGAUGAUUACCGAGUGUUAGGAUUACAAUUACUAGUAGUAGUUUAAUUAAUGGAUGAGGAUGGUCAUGGAUUGAUUGGACUUGGACCAACCACCAAUAGAUUCUUAUCUAUAGAUAAGAGUAUAGCAGUUGAGCUAGCGGUUUGGUUAAUUUAGCGACUAUCUACUAGUGCAGUGGUUGGUGAGUUCUCGAAUCGAAUGAACACCCUACCUCACCUUUUAGGAAAGUAUUUUUUUAGGAAAUUAUUACGGGUGGGUUGAUUAUAAUUCUGAGAAUAAAUAAGAAAAAUCUGUACGGUUCGAGCGCAGCUCGGUGAUGAACUUUGAGACAAGGGAGAUGGUGGCCAUCAAGAAGAUCGCCAACGCCUUCGACAACCACAUGGACGCCAAGCGCACGCUCCGGGAGAUCAAGCUGCUGAGGCACCUCGACCACGAGAACGUAAGCAAGAAACAUGUAGCCCUUGCUGAAUAGUUGAAUCUGGCGCCGUUUAAUUGCUAGCUGCUCCCAUUCGGGUUUUGGGGAUGACUGACUGACUGACUGACACAUGAAUGAACAAACAGAUCAUAGGCAUCAGGGACGUGAUCCCGCCGCCGAUCCCGCAGGCGUUCAACGACGUGUACAUCGGCACGGAGCUCAUGGACACGGACCUCCACCACAUCAUCCGCUCCAACCAGGAGCUCUCGGAGGAGCACUGCCAGGUAAUAAUACUAAGUGACUAUUAUUAGCAGAAGAAAAGAAACAACACGGCGUCGCCAUCAGCUUAAUUUGCCGCCGCCUGUGAUCCGAGUAAUCCGACGACUGGCUGGCUAAUUAUAAUCUCGGUCGCCGGGCGCAGUACUUCCUGUACCAGAUCCUUCGCGGGCUCAAGUACAUCCACUCCGCCAACGUGAUCCACCGGGACCUCAAGCCCAGCAACCUGCUGCUGAACGCCAACUGCGACCUCAAGAUCUGCGACUUCGGGCUGGCGCGCCCCUCCUCCGAGAGCGACAUGAUGACGGAGUACGUGGUGACACGGUGGUACCGCGCCCCGGAGCUGCUGCUCAACUCCACCGACUACUCCGCCGCCAUCGACGUCUGGUCCGUCGGCUGCAUCUUCAUGGAGCUCACCAACCGCCAGCCGCUCUUCCCCGGACGCGACCACAUGCACCAGAUGCGCCUCAUCACCGAGGUACCAAUAUAAUACCAUCCGAUCGCCGACGCACCGCCACUCUUUCUGGUUGCGCUUGCGCCUGCACGACACGAUCGACGGCAUUUCUGACGCGUCUGGUCAUCGCCACUGCUGCUGGCCGGCAGGUGAUCGGGACGCCGACGGACGAUGAGCUCGGCUUCAUCCGGAACGAGGACGCGCGCAAGUACAUGCGCCACCUCCCGCAGUUCCCGCGGCGGCCGUUCGCGAGCCUGUUCCCGAAGGUGCAGCCCGUCGCGCUGGACCUCAUCGAGCGGAUGCUCACCUUCAACCCGCUGCAGAGGAUCACAGGUCAGUCCAGUCGUUCGGCGCCUCGCCGGGGGCGGGCCUACUACAGCUAGCACCUUUGUUUUUUACUGUUAUUUCUUUUCUCCAUGUGCAACCGGUGCGUGCGGCUGCUGAAUCCUCAACCUCCGCACGUGCGCUUUCCUAUUCUCGUGCCGUGUUGACACUUGACUAUUAGUAGGAUUUUUUUUUUGUUUGAGGAGCAAGCAGCCAUGCGUUUGGUAGUCAGUAGGUCUAGGACUAGCACGUGGGGGCACUCGCGAUGAGGCUUUCUUUAUCUUUUCGUUUUUAUUUGACAAACAUUGUCCAAUCAUAGAGUAACUAGACUUAAAAGAUUCAUCUCGUGAUUUACAGUUAAACUGUGUAAUUAGUUUUUAUUUUCGUCUAUAUUUAAUACUCUAUGCAUGUAGCGUAAGAUUCAAUGUGAGACGAAAUUUUGAAAAGAUUUUGGUUUUUGGAGUGAACUAAAAAGGCCACAGUGUAGGAGUAGUGUACAUUUCCAGAGAGGAGUUGAGUAGCCCUGGCAGUAUGGCGGCACUUCAAUGCGUCGGUUUGUUCGCCCAAAUUUGGAUGUUGGUCUGGUCUGGUCAGAAGUAUAUGCAAUCUUCUUUGUGCCUUGUUUAGUUCCGAAAAGAUUUCGGAUUUCGGUACUGUAGCAUUUUUGUUUGUUUGUGACAAAUAUUAUCCAAUCAUGAACUAACUAGGAUCAAAAGAUUCGUUUCGUGAUUUACAGUUAAACUGUGUAAUUAGUUUUUGUUUUUAUCUAUAUUUAACGCUUCAUGCAUGUACCGCAAGAUUCGAUGUGACGGAGAAUCUUGAAAACUUUUUGGUUUUUGGGUGAACUAAACAAGGCCUUGGUCUUGUUUAGUUUCGAAAACUGAAAAGUUUUCGGAACUGUAGCACUUUCGUUUUUAUUUGAUAAACACUAUCCAAUCGUAGAAUCGUAGAGUAACUAGGCUUAAAAGAUUCAUCUCGUGAUUUACAGGUAAACUGUGCAAUUAGUUUUUAUUUUCGUCUAUAUUUAAUAGACCAUGCAUGUGGUGUAAGAUUCGAUGUGACGGGAAUCUUGAUAAGAUUUUGUUUUUUGGGGUGAAAUUAACAAGGCCUUUGUCUCGAGUAGAAACUUUUACUUAUGAUCCGCAGCAACAAAAUGGGGUGAUUUGGUAGUUCUCUUCGUUGAAUUCAGAGUUGAGGCCAUAACAGAAAACCGGGCAUCAUUUCUGUCAUUCUAUGACUAAAUAUAGUAAUGAUAUAUAGUACUUAUAUAGCUUUAAUUUCCAUCGAAUGCGCUAGCAUAGCGUGAAGCUUUUGUUGGUCAGCUUGUUGCCUACCGUCCAAGUGUACAACCGACGCAACACUACCACCCUGCGCUUGCAAAUAUACAGCUAAGAUGCUGAGUUGAUAGAAAAAUUACCUCAGGGACAAACGAGAGUCGUACAAAAAUCCUGCUCCGGCUUCCCACGAGACAAAACCUAAAGUGAAAGGAGCUGUUUGGUUGUAGAAAUGGAAACGCAAACGCAAACGUAAAGAGAAAUGAACUCCAAAUGUUACCAGGGGUAACAGAUUUGAACUAUCUAGCCUUUAUGAUUGUGUUACUGUAUAGGAACUAAACAAGUCGUAACUUCGUACAUUUUAUUAAAAGAAAAAAAAAUACACUCUCUGUAACUACUUGUUUCUCCUUCUGCCUUUCCCAAUUUUUAUUGUGCACCCAGGGUCAUCAAAGUUGUACUCGCUGUGGAGCUUUCUCCAUAUGCAUCCAAAGCCUUUGCUACCUUUUGCAUUAUUUUGGGGGCUGUUGCUUUGACCCAUCAUCCUCGGCUUUGUAGCCUCCUCCAUAUCGCUUUUGCCGAAGUGACGAUGACGGCUAUGUACCAACGUACAAAAUAAACAUGUUUUAUAUAAGAUGAAAAAAAGAGAGACAAAGGUUGAAGAUAAUCUUAAAAUUAGAUUCCUCUAUUGGCAGGCAGCUGUCCACUAGCGGAGUUACUUCAGAGACUCCCUAUUCGUUUCAGAUUAGCAGAGUUUCUUUUUCUCUGUUGGUUUUAGACUAGCAUAUAUAUAGGGCCUGUUUGGUACAGCUUACAACAGCUUUAUAAGCUGUUGUGAGCUGUUUUUUUUGCCAAACACUUAUUUCCAAAACAGCUUCAUGGGUGGAGCUGUUUUUCCCCUCCUCUCACAAAGACAUAAUUGGAUGAAGCUGGAAAAAAGUAGCUUAUUGCAGCUUCUCCCUCAUUUCUCUCUCUCAACUAUGCAUGAAGUAGUUGGUGAAGCUAUUUUGCCAAACACUUUCUUCAAAACAGCUCAACUUAGUAUAGCUAUACGAUGACUGUAAGAGCUCACGAAUGACUGAUUUCAUUCUCUCAGUUUUCUCACCGGAAUCUGUUUUGUCAUGCAGUUGAAGAGGCGCUGGAGCACCCGUACCUGGAGCGGCUACACGACAUCGCCGACGAGCCCAUCUGCACGGAGCCAUUCUCGUUCGACUUCGAGCAGCAGGCUCUGACAGAAGACCAAAUGAAGCAGCUCAUAUUCAACGAGGCCAUCGAAAUGAACCCGAAUUUCCGAUAUUAGAAUGUAUAUCUAGAUGUAUGCUUCCUCUUUUAUGCACAAUGUCUGUAAAUAGGCGUAAGUAUAAAGAUUGGAGAGCCGGGGUAGACAGAACAUUGCAUUUGUUUGUUUGCUGAUGUUCGAGCCCACCAUCCUGUCUGUAAGGCUGUGUAAUCUGUUGCUGCAGGUUUCAGGCGGCGUUCCUGUAAUGGGUUGUACCAAGAAUAAAAGGUUUGGACUCUGGGUCAUGUUUCUGGAAUCACAAAUUUGUAUGCCGAGUUAGCUAGCGCAUCUUCUUACCGAAUCCAUUCACGCCUUGUUUAGUUUCCAAAGUUUUUUUUAGAUUCUCCUUCAUAUCGAAUCUUGCGGCACAUGCAUGAAGCAUUAAAUAUAAAAAAAAGCUAACUAAUUGCACAAUUUACCUGUAAUUUACGAGAUGAAUCUUUUAAGUCUAGUUAGUUUAUAAUUAAAUAAUAAUUGUCAAAUAAAGCCGACAAUACUACAGUAGCGAAAUUCAAAAUUUUUCGCGAACUAAACAAGGCCUCAGUUCAGAUUCAAAACACAGAGAACGAUGGUUUUGUUUGUAGCUAACUUUUGCAAAGCAGUAAUUUAAUAUGGCCGGAUUACUCGUCCGUUUUAAACUGUAACUCAUUUAAGAAUUAUUCUAAGUUAAAUGUGACUAUCUUUAGCCAAAUUUAUAUAAAUUAUAUUAAUGUCUACAAUAAUACAAUAUCAAUUAAAUGCAAAAGAGCAUAGCUCAGCUGGUUGCCCACUAGGAUUCAAGGCUUCGCAAUUUCCUAUAUUUAUUCAAGAAUUUAAUGACACUAUUCUCGUUCAUAAAGGUCAGUGUGAGCGUCUGUAACUGAAUACUAGAACUAUACAUGGUGUAUCUAAUCUAAUGAGUUUAGUUUGCUAUUUUAGAAUUCUGAUUUUUUUAAAAAAAACUUCAUCAAAACUAAAAAGUUUGAUUUAAAACAAAACUAAAGACAUUUGCAAUUUAAAACAAAGAUAAUGCGUUGGAACUAAGAGCCUGUGAUAGCAGACCACUAUUGUUGUUGUUGGGCCACUAUUCGCUCCAUGCGGGCUCCUUUGGUUCAAGGGUGAAACAAAGGAAUUUUGUAGGAUAGGAUUCUCAAAGGUCCUUUCCUACUCUUUGGUUCAUAGGAAAAGUACAGGAAGCAUUCCAUAGGAUUGGCCUUGUAUAGUUCAAUUCCAUAGGAAAAAAACAUGAGAGCCCCUUUGGAUUGCAGUAUAGGUAUAGAAUAGGAAAAGGACAAACAAAGGAAUAGAGAUGGCAUACUCCUCUGAUCCUAUGGGAUUUGAAACAAAGGAAAAUGCCUUUGGCAAGAGCUUAGGUGAAACACAGGAAUUGUGUACAUCAAUUGGAAUUUGAACAGCUAGCCUUUGGCAGUUACGUUUGCUUAAUCAUCCGAACACUCCAGCCUGUGGGACCACGUCUUCAGUCAUUCUUAUUCACAUGACUGCGGAUCUUCUUUCUGUGGCCAGCACUGGGGCAGGCCGACUCGAUACCUGGCGAGAUGGGGAGGGCGUCGUGCUGUCCCGUGCAGCGGUGAUGCCGUGGCCGUCGCUUGAGCCAACGAUGGGCUGACCGUUUAGCGCUGGUGCGAUGCGAAGAUGAAUAAGCACGAGCGAGGCGUGGCCGUCAUGCGAGCCAGCGAUGGGGCAGCGGCUGUUUGUCGUUUGCGUGAACGCGAAGAUGAACGAGGACUAGCGAGUCGCGCGCAAGUCUGAUUUCGCGCCAGGAAAAGUUCCAAGAGGUCCGACUUCAUGUUUAUUUUCCUAUGGAAUCAGGUCAUAGGAAUGCAAUCCUCAGGAAUGAUUCCUUUACUUUUCUGUGAACCAAAGGCUUGGAUAGGAAAAAAUCCUUAGGAAAGUCAAUCCUCCAAAAUUCCUAUGCCAAUCCUACAAUCCAAAGGGGGCCGAAGUAUGACUUCAUGAAAAAAUUCCUAUGGUCCAACCAAAGGUCUUCUGUAUUACUUAGGAUUAAAGAUGUAUGACAUGUAUAUUCCUACUUCCCUAUUCCUAUAGGAUUCCUAUCCUAUGAUCCAAAGGGGGCGGAUUAAAGAUGUAUGACAUGUAUAUUCCUACUUCCCUAUUCCUAUAGGAUUCAUAUCCUAUGAUCCAAAGGGGGCCGUAGUGGAUGGUUCCAGUGGCAUUACAAAUGGUUCCAAUGAUAAUAAGAAUGUUAAAAUGAUUAUUUGAACCAAGAUAAAAAGGUGAUGGGGGUGAUUAUUAGGACCUGUUUAGCGUAGUUCCUGCACCGGCUUCUCUAGGGACGGAGCCACACCAAACACAGCAGCAUACAGGAAUAUUGAUUAUUAAUCCACACCGAUGUCAUUAGCAUCUUGGAGCAACUGCAGUCCGUUAACACUGCGAAGACGUGUUUAUGUGAGUUGUCUCUGAGAGAAUAAAUCCCGGGAGGUACGGUAAUUUGUUAGCGAGUACUACGUAGGAAAUUUCAGAAAUUGAAAACAAGAAUCACUGCAAGCUUCUGGCCGUGCCGACCCUAUACAAGCAGAAAUCUAGUGCGCCACAAAUGCGUCGCCGAUUCGUUGAGACACGGAACAGAUACAGCUUGCAAAACGCACCAGAUAAUGCGUAGCUUGAAAUCAGUAAUUUGCAUCACUAACAUCCACCGACACGGCCAACAGAACUCGAUCAUAGACGUAGCAAAGCAAAGCGUAUUAGCUCCGACUAAAAUUGCUCGACCAGUCACACCACGAGAAAGAAUCAGAUCAUGCAGAUGCAGCGCAAGCACAGCCUUUUUAAACCACAAGCUGUGAACCGAACUAAGGGAAACCAGAUAAGCAAAGUAACAAGAACAUACUGCAGCCAUAAGAUCAUAGAUCUACUAGUUUCAGUUGCAUACAGCAUCAGAGUAUAGGCAAAGGGUCCCCCCCGUUCAACCAUAGCCAAAGUUCCAAGAACAGCCUGAGGGCUCAACAGCGACAAAUUUAUUACAUAGAAGACACGAGACAAUCUGCUGGUUCACUCUAACUCCAGAUGCACAUGAUUCCAUACAGGCAGCAGUUUGGAUCACUCCAGGAUAGGGGCCAUUUAAGCAUCAGCGAACCUGCAUUCCAGGAGAGUAAACAAUCAGAUUUGUCCCACUGACCAAGCACAAAUUGUGCAAUCACUGGUUACUCACCCCAGUUCGGAGAGCUUGAGGUGGGCUUCUUUGUAGUCUUCAAAGAAUGCCUUCUCAUCCUACAAGGCACACAAUAAUCAGUACUUAUCUCCCUGCAGAUCACCUUACCCUAGAAAACAAUGACGGACAUACCGCAGCAUAUUUAUCCACAAGAGGGCGGAAGGCAGGGUCGCUCAGCAGGGCUUUGUCACUUGGGAGCUGAAGAAGGCCCUCCUUGUCACCACUCAGAAGUUCCCUACAGAAUAAGUUCAGGAUAUAUGGGAUAGCUAUUAAUUUCUAGUAUAGUAUAGUAUUUACAGCUGCCCAGGAAAGACAUAACAAAGGCAAAUAAAUUCUUAGUAUUUCUUAACUAAAUGCAGUUGCUUUUCAUAGUAAACAUGACACAGACUCACUUGAAGUAAGAGUUGUCGAAGACCAAAGGGUUUGAAGUCCAGGCCCCCUCAAAACCAGACCGCUCUUUGUGGCACCUUCCCUAAGAAAACCUCAAAUAAAAGUAAAUCAGUUCAAGCAUACAUAUAUUACAUACAUUUCUGAAGGAAACAUGAGUGGGCAGUAACAAACCAAGGUGUGGCCACCAGAAAGGGCAACAAUGUCCUGGUCGCUCAGACCCAUCUGCUUGCCAAAGACUUGCCUCAGGUGGUCAGAACCUGGUUAAUAAAAAACAGCAAGCAAGGAAUAAGAGUCGGUCAUCAUGUCAAUAAAAGUGACGUCAACGCCUUGAAGGAUACAUGGUGAAUAUAACCAAUCAAUUCAGCAUUCAUGACAAUCGUAGUGAAGAUUAGAGAUCUACCCUUAGUGGCAUCAGGAAGACGGCCCUCGGGUGGGGGCUGAGGCUUGUCCUGAAAAAGACAAGGGAAGAUGUAAAUACUCAAGUUUUUACAGUGACAAAUACUGACGGCGAAAAAGGCAUGGAACAAAUAAUAUCAGUCAGUCAUGCCUAUCGCUAUAGUUUUAAGAAAGCAAGACAUAAGUGAUAGAAUUGAACAACUUUAACACCAAAUGUUAAAUAAUUGUCACCCAACAAAUUGUAAUGACAAUCAAGGGAAAAUAGUAUCAGCAUUGGACAACAUGCAGAAAGUUUAUGGUCUAUACAUGUAUAAUUUGACAGCAUAUCAACAGGGACCGUAUAGGUGCAUAAUAUGCAUAGUGCACAUCACCAUCAGGGUAAGGCAACCAACACUAUCUAGACGGCAUGAAAUGCCUAGACGCACACUUACAACAAACAUACUGUGCAUCCAAGGACCCAACAAGUGGACCUCCACAAUAAAGAGAUAACGACAUAUGAUAUGGUAUUGUAUUGGCCAACACAUAUAUGUAUAACAGGAUAAGGGCAAACUGGUUUGGCAACACUAUGAUACCUCAUCACAUGACCAUGACCUACCUACUCAACACAAUAUAUGUGCAAGAUGACAAGAAUCCAACAGGCAGGGUGACAUAAGUAUGUAUGGAGAACACCAAUACAAAAUGAUAAAACGAUCAAUUAUUUUUUCGAUAAGUUUUCAAAAAUGAAGGCUAUAUGGACAUUGUCCUAUACAAAACUAACACAAAAGAACCACUGGUGUUAGGAAUAGCUUCUAAACAUAAGUUUUGAUAAGUUAUUAGUGACAUCAUUUUCUCAUCAUAGGAAAAAGUAUGAAACAAGCAUAUAGUUAAUAUGACUCUCCUAUCACGUCUAUGAGAGACAAGGACUGAGCUAUACACAUAGUGAAAGCUGCAUCUCAUAUAUUUGACGAACACUACAGUAAACCGCUAAAUUAUUUUUAGCGCACAAUGGCCCACCAUUCGAAGAUGAUAUUUAUAGACUAAUCAAAACCUAAACUAGUGGCCACUUCAAGCCGAAACAAUGAACACACAGGGACAGAGCCACAGAGCGGAAAGAUGCGUGGACACAAAUCUCAAAAUAAAGGUUAAUUGUAGCAUCCCAGGAAUAAAUGGUUAUAGCUAAUUGCACGAGGGAUUUACCAAACAGGUGAUAAAUCGCACAUAGAUCGAUGGUACUAGUUGGAGUAAACAAACACGAUCUCACUAAACGACCUUCACACCCACCUCCUCGGAGAUUUCUAAACAAAACCUUAAACCCUGCUAAACCCCAAAGACAGUUAACAAAUGGUUGAAAAAUCUCACCUCCCUACCGGGGUGGAAGGGGAUCUGAGGCCCACCAGUGACCUCCACGGCCACAACUCCCGCGAGCUGCAAAAGGAGCAGAGAGAGAAAGGUACGCGGUCAGAACGCACAUCCAUUCGGGCAGAUCGAAUCAUCGAACCAGAUCGAUGCGAGAUCGGGGACCGACCUGGUAGAAAUCGGCGUAAGAGAGGAUGGGGAACUCCUCCUUGAUGGGCUCGAGCAGCCGCACCGCGAUGUCCAGCCCCGCGUUGGCGCCAUGCGCCAGUUCCGCCGGGUUCUUCAUCGUGCCGAAGGGACCGCCGGUCCUCGACGACACGUCGAACGUCCCGGCGGAGUGCCACCUGCGCGAUCGAACGGGAAACCCAGAUCAGGCGACUGAAAAAAAAAAACUCCCCCACAAAGAUCUAGAAAUGCGCGCGCAGGGAGGACGGGAGGUAGGUGGAGGUAGGGAGGCUUACGCGAGGCGGAGCAUGAGUGGGGCGCAGCUCUUCUCGGCGAUGAGGGCGCGGAGCUUUUGCCUGGCCUUCUCGACGGCCUCGCUGUACUCGGCGCUCACGGUCGGGUAGCUCUUCGCCAUGGCUGCGAACAGAGAGCUUCGAAUCGCAGAAUGCGAUGGGAAUGGGACGCGACGCGGCUGAGGUAGGAUCACAAAGAGCUGCUGGGGGCAAAUGGCCGCCACGCUCCCCAGGGGUUUAUAUUGCGACACAACCGAGGGGGGCGGAGGAUGGGAUUGCUAGGAGAAAGGGAAGCUUCUCGUAGGAUGCAUCGCGGCCGUCAGUCCGAGCGAUCGUGCGGCUAGAAUGGACGUCCAUUUGGACGGGCAUGGUUGGGCCGUGUGGCCUGCCCACGAUGCCAUUUGGGCUCAAUCGGAUUUCUCUAAUUUACCCUUGCAAAAUUGCUAGAAGAGGAGAAUGCAUUGGUGAUAUUUUGGUCAUUUAGCCUGUGGCCCCACCCUCUGUCUGCGGAUUAAACGGCGACGGUUCACGGCUUCACGGACGCGCGGGCCACGUGAGGCGCGUGGUUGGUGGCACCGGCCGGCUGGAAUAGUAACGCCGGCCACUAUUCUCGAACAGAGUGCCACCGGCACCGCGCGCAAAUGGUACACCGUACAGUGCCCUUGCCGUGAACGUGGGCCUUGUUUAGUUCACCCCAAAAAGCAAAAAGUUUUCAAGAUUCCCCGUCAUAUCGAAUCUUGCGGCACAUUCAUGAAGUAUUAAAUAUAAACGAAAGCAAAAACUAAUUACACAGUUUAGCUGGAAAUCGCGAGACGAAUCUUUUGAUCCUAGUUAGUCCAUAAUUGGAUAAUAUUUGUCACAAACAAACGAAAAUGUUACAGUACCAAAAUCCUAAAUCUUUUCGGAACUAAACAAGGCCAAACGAUCAGACGACCAGCAAUGGGUACACCAGACCACAUGCACAGAUUCGUUUCUCCUCGUUCAGAAGUUUUGGUCCAAUUUUUCAUCCCCUCGUGAUCCUUUUCUCACGCUAUCACGCACGACUCACAGCUCAGAAAGUCAGAAUCUUGUUCUCAUUGCUAUAUUUCAUUAUUUUCCGUAUAUAUUUCAACAAAUGGCACGAGCAACAAAUGCUUGCAACAACUCUUGAAAAUAGAGUCGCUACAACUUCGAGCCUGUUUGGAUUCACCCUAAUCAAAAUUUGGAUAGCUAAUUGCUAGAGCUAAAAUUUAGCCAACUAAUCCUCUAGCUAAUUGAAAAUCUGACCAUACCAUCCCUCAUUAAUUACAUUGCUUAGAGCAUCUUCAAGAGAUUAGCUAAAUCAUUUUUUAAAGGUAAAUUUAGCUAUUAUCGAAGGAAAAACGUUUCCAACAGACUUUGUAAGUGACUCUUCAAAUUUAGUAGCUCUCCAUCCCACCUUAUUCGCUCUCUAAUUUUGGAUAGCGUACCUCACUAGCCAUCUUUUACAAAGUCUGUUGGAGUACUCUAAUAUUUUUUUGUCGAAUCUAUUUUAAAGAUUACUAAAUCAGUAAAUUUAGCUAAUGUUUUUGGCUAAUCUCUUGGAAAGCUGGCUAAAAUUUUAGCUAGAGUGUUUAGAUCCUCUAACUAAACUUUAGCUAGAGAUAGUUUGAUCAUUAAACCAUUUUAGCUAAUUUUAGAUCAGUUGAAACAACUAAAGAGUGGGUUCGUUUUUUACUUUAGCUAAAGUUAGUUGUGUUUAUCUAUAGACUAUAGGUUGUUUCCGAUGCAUUACUAUUUUAGCUAAAAUUUAGCUGGUAAGACUAUCUUCAAAAAUCGUCAUCCAAAUGCAAAAUCCAUUUGUCCUUUGGGUAGCGUUACGUAGAAAAGAUUUUAUAUUUAUUUUUAGUCUUCUACAACAGCAAAACUUAAAGAACAACACUCUGUGUAAAUGGAUCUCGAGGAGAGAGGAUAUCCAAAUUUGGAUUAUGUUUCUUCUGAUACCCAAAAUAAAUCUUUUGUAUGAGUACACUCUUAGAGGCUAUCAAUAUUAUGUUGGACAACCAAAAAAUUUAAAAAACUAAACAAAGCCUCACUAGUCCGUAGACUUCUGAGCUACAACAACAGCAAAGCUUCAACGGCAGGAUGUGCAGCCAUGCUUGAUGCAGCUGCGGCAAUGAAUUUUCACCCAGGACCAAAAGCUGAAACCGAAGCGCACGAUCAGCAAUUCCGUCAGCAGAGUUUGAAAAACAUGGCAGCCUCAUGUCAGGCUUAUUUAGAGCAAGUAUUACUAUAGUGGGUUGUAAGAGCAAUCUCAGCCUAAGUCACUAAAUUCACUGUUCGCCUAAACGGCUGUUUAGACCGUUUAAACGCCGUGUAAACGCUACACAAUGGUACACCGUUUCCGUUUAAUCAUCUAUUUAGUCUGUUUAAUUGACCGUUUAGCCCGUUUAAUGGACUGUUUAGCCUGAAUAAUGGCUAAACGGCAGGUGACCGACUGUUUACCGUUUAGCGUUUAGAAAAACAUUGCCUAAAUUAAGCCCUUAAACUUUUAUUUACAAGCUAUGAUAAAAAAAGUAGGGGCUCAAAUUAAGACCCAACUCCAAUAAAAAAACAGACAAAGUCCUUAUCUCACAUAUUCUUGUCUUGAUUUAUGGGUGGGAAGAGGAAAGUGAGUGAGAUCCACUCGAUAGGGGGUUCUAGAUGUGAGAUGCUGAAACUAUAAUUUGGGAGGACAUGAAAAAUGAGAGCUCAAGGCCUUGUUUAGUUUCAAAAAAAAUUGGGAAAUCGAUACUAUACCACUUUCGUUUGUAUUUGACAAAUAUUGUCGAAUCAUGGACUAACUAGACUUAAAAGAUUUGUCUCGUCAAUUCCGAUCAAACUGUGCAAUUUAUUUUUAUUUUCAUCUAUAUUUAAUACUCCAUGCAUAUGUCUACAAAUUCAAUGUGACAGGAAUCUGAAAAAUUUUACAAAAUUUUUUAGGAACUAAACAAGGCCCAAGUAGGAGGUGGGUUGGAGUUGAUUUUUUGAUCAAGUCUCUAGAUUUAGAAUAGGGACUUGUUUAGGAGGUGGGCUGAAGUUGUUCUAAGCUGACUAAAUGUUGAGGUGGAUGAGAGAAGGGAGGAGAGAGAGGAGAAGCAGGUUGUAAGGUUACAACGAGCUUAGACACAAGAACCAAAAAACUUUGUGAGAGAGAUAAGUGAGCCGUGUAUUAAUAGUGAAUAGCUAACUAUUGUAUGGGUGGGUUGGGAGAAGACUAAGGCCUUGUUUAGAUUGGAGAUGAAAAUUUUUUGGGUGUCAUAUCAAAUGUGUCGGAAGGAUGUCGGAAGGGCUUUUUAGAAACUAAUAAAAAAACAAAUUACAUAGCUCGUCGGGAAACUACAAAACAAAUCUAUUAAGCAUAAUUAAUCUAUCAUUAGCACAUGUGGAUUACUGUAGCACCUAAGGCUAAUCAUGGAGUAAUUAGGUUUAAAAGAUUCGUCUCGCGAUUUUCAACUAAACUGUGUAAUUAUUUUAUUUCUUUAUGUAUAUUUAAUGUUCCAUGCAUGCGUCCAAAGAUUCGAUGGGAUGGAUGAAAAAAUUUUAGGUGCAAAACUAAACAGGUGAAAGGUCCUAAUAUGGCUAGAGGAGGGUGAAUAGCCUAUUUAAAAAAUUCUACAAACUCACUAGAGCAAGAGGUUAAUAAAUAACAAAGCGAAGCUUUUUGGUCUAGCUCUAAAGGGGUGUUUGCAAGCCAUCUAUCCAACAAUUCUAGUUGAUAUAAUCUCUAGGCACAUAAAAGCUAUGUUACUACUUACACUAGAGAGAUACCUAAAGUUUCUAUGCAAGUAAGAAAGCUACUCUAGUUUGCGGGAAUAUAAAAAGAGAUGGUUUGAUCUUUAUACCGCCGCUUAGAGAGGAUGAACCAAUCAAUAAUAUGAAGUCCAAUCACCGGGAGAAAUCCAAUGAAUAAUCACAAAGGAGACACACAAUUUUCUCCCGAGGUUCACGUGCUUGCCGGCACGCUACGUCCCCGUUGUGUCGACCAACACUUGGUGGUUCGGUGGCUAAGAGGUGUAGCACGAACCUCGUCCUCACUAGGACACCACAAGAACCUACCCACAAGUGAGGUAGCUCAAUGACACGAGCAAUCCACUAAUGUUGCCUUUGGCACUCCGCCGAAGUAGGCACAAACCUCUCACAAUCACCGGGAGAUGGCCACGAACAAUCACCAACUCGUGCCAAUCCUCCUCCGCUGCUCCAAGCCGUCUAGGUGGCGGCAACCACCGAGAGUAACAAGAAAACUGCAGCUAAAACGAUCUCCAAGUGCCACUAGAUGCAAUCACUCAUGCAAAUGCACUUGGAAUCACUCCCAAUCUCGCAAAGAUGUAUAAUCUAUGAAGGAGAUGAGUGGGAGGUGUUUGCUUAGCCUCACAAGGAUGUCAAGUAUGCUAGAAUGCCAAGAGAGUGAGCCCCAAGCCGGCCAAACACGUAUUUAUAGCCCCUCAAACAAAUAGAGCUGUUGGCUCUUUCACUGGGCGAAAUACGGGGUCACCGGACGCUCUUAAAGGGGCACCGGACGGUGCCUUACCCUAGCUGGGCUAGGCACUGUCUGCACCGGACGCUUAGACGCAGCGUCCGGUGCCCCAGAAGCCAGCGUCCGGUGAGUGUUUUCUCAGCGAGAAACACUCCCGCGACUUCUCCAAAUUUCCCACCGGCACAAUAGAAAAUAUGCACUUCAUUUUCUCGAAAAGCGCCGAAUCCCGCCGAGCUUGAGGAACCCAUCCUCUCUCUACCCUUGAAACUCCACCUAAUCAUUAAAUAAAAUAAAAAACCUAGAAUACUCAAAUCUAAAAAAAUUCACGAACUAAGGCCUUAUUUAGAUGCGAAAAGAUUUUGGAUUUUGCUACUGUAGCACUUUCGUUUGUUUAUGGUAAAUAUUGUCGAAUCAUGGACUAACUAGGAUCAAAAGAUUCGUCUUGCGAUUUACAGUUAAAUUGUGUAAUUAGUUUUUAUUUUCGUCUAUAUUUAAUGCUUCAUGCAUGUGUCAAAAGAUUCGAUGUGACAGAGAAUCUUAAAAUUUUUUGGUUUUUGGAGUGAACUAAACAAGGCUUAAAUAUGACCGUUUGGUCGUACAGGUCUUGCAAGGAACUUUAGGGGCUGUUUGGUUGCCCGCAUGUGGUCGAACGAGCAUCCCGGGAUGCAGCCUGCUCGUGUUUGGUUGUCUGGAGCUGUCCCCGAGCCUGGCUGAGCACAUGCAAAAGAUCUAUCCGAGCCUCGCUGAGGAGGAACGGCCAAAUCGGCCGUUCUUUUUGGACCUAGCUGGCUCGGACAGUUGUUUAGUGUGUUAAUGAUGGUAUUAGUGUAUAAUUAGUAAAUAUUAAGUGAUAUUAAUAUCUUUUAAAGAUAUGUAAGGCAUAAUUAGAUAAAAUAAGACUGUUAAGAGUAUAUUUGCACAAAAUAAAAAAUUUAAUAAUAAUCUUAUAAUAUUUUUUGUUUCAUGCAACAUGUCUCGUACACACAACCAAACAACAUCUCAUCUCAGCCGGGCUAGCCAGAUACAACAACAUCUCGUCUCAGCCGGACUAGCCAGAUACAACCAACCAAACACGAUAACAUGUAUGCACUCAAUCUUUCCUUUUUGAGCCAGACUUUUAUAUACGAGCCAGGCUCUACUACUACGUGAACCAAACAUGCCCUUAACGGGCGUCUGAAAGCGAGCUGCAAAGACAUCUUUUGUGAUGCCUUCGUUCCGGUUUUAGAGAGUAUGACUCGGCGCCGGUGGCAGACCACGGCGACCCAAAGUCCAAAGACGGGUUGAACCGGGGCAGAUCAGUGCGCAAGCUUUAGCUCUCUAAACUGCAGUUAGCGCGUGGAAAACACACGAUUGUCCAGUCGUGCAUCCGUCACAAAUCAAUUCACCACAGCCUUUGUAAAGAAACAAAGGCGUAGACGAAGACGAUAAAAAAGGUUUGGAAUCAGCGAGAGCCAUGCUGUAGUACAGACGAUCGAGGCGAGCAACGGAAGCAUAUUCUUUAUCCGAGCCUGCUAAAAAAAAUAGCCCACCCAGUACACACACGAGCCACGACCCACCUCACCCGGUCAGCCGGCCACGGGGCCACCGCUGCUGCCACCAACCGCAUCAAUGCCCACGCGCAGCGCGACAACGGGUAAUGGCACCCGCGCGGCGGUGAUUCGCGCGAAACUGAUGGUGAUGGCGACUUCCAUGGCAGAUUCCCCUGCCGCGCGCACCCACAGCCGCACGGCGCGACGGCAUCGGCGGAAAUAGUUUUGUUUUUCUUUUCCGGCAGUUCCACUUUGGAUGUGGAUCCCACGGCGCGCGUUACAUGGGCUGCUUUGCUUCGCUUUGCGGGAUUCGCGACGACAGCUCGCGCUGGGCGGGAUGAAAAUGGGACGGUCCGUUCCAAAGGAUCAAAUCUUAAACUUUUUUUCCGACAGCAGAAGAAUUAUAUAUUAAAUAAUAGGUGGUUAAAUGAACACGUUGCAAAUAAUUUGGAUUACAAAUAUAGAAGAAGGUUUUUUAUUUAAAUUAUACUUAUACUAUGAAUAGCUCGAGAUCUUAAAACCAAGCACUCGACAAAAUGCCUAAAAACAAAUGUCCAACAAAUAAAAGGCUAACAUUCACGUAGACGGAAUGGAGAAACUUUUUUUUUUCUAUUGUCUUCUUUCUUCAUUUUUCUGCCACCAAAGAAUAAGUAAGGCCUUGUUUAGUUACCAAAAAUUUUCAAGAUUUCCCAUCACAUCGAAUCUUGCGGCACAUGCAUGGUGCAUUAAAUAUAUAUAUAUAUAUAUAUAUAUAUAUGAAAACAAAAACUAAUUGCACAGUUCAUCUGUAAAUUAUGAGACGAAUCUUUUAAGCCUAGUUACUCCAUAAUUAGACAAUAUUUGAUAAAUAAAAACAAAAGCGCUACAGUGCCCAAACACAAAAAAAUUUGCAAACUGAACAAGGCCUAAGACUCAUCUCAAACUUAUUCUCCCAAAUCAUUCAGUAUGGCCAGAUCUUCUUCAUAGACUAGAUAUUUGGGAAUCAUUGGAUAUGCCUUAUAUAUAAAUAGGUCGUAUCUGAAUCUGCAUAUUUAAUGUCUUAUCAUAUCUGAAUUCAAAUACUUGAAAUUGAUUUUUUAUUUCUAUAUAAAAUAAUUAGAUAUCAAUACCGAAAUGAUCCGUAUCCAGUUUUAAUAUCAAAUAAAAUAUGAGAUAUCAGUUUUAAUAUCCGAUAAAAUAUGGGAUAUGGGAUAUAAUGGGAUCGCUAAUAUCGGUUUACAUCCGAGCCCGGUUUCAUCCUUCCAAAAUUUUUGGCAAAAUGAGUACUGUAGCAAUUUCGUUUGUAUUUGAUAAAUAUUGUCCAAUCAUAGACUAACUAGGCUCAAAAGAUUCGUCUCGUCAAUUCCGACCAAACUGUGCAAUUAGUUUUUAUUUUUAUCUAUAUUUAAUACUCCAUACAUACGUCUAAAGAUUUGAUGUGACGGGAAAUCUGAAAAAUUUUGUAAAAUUUUUGAAAACUAAACAAGGCCAUAGCUUCCCUCGAAGGCGAUCGGCGAAAGGCUCCAAUUGCCCCAUAAGGCCAUGAGCCCAUGAGUUCGAGCAUGCCGUGAUAAAUCUGGUACAGUACGAUGGAUAUGUUUUGGACCGGUUCCACCUCACCAGCGUUGGUGGGCAGGCUUGGCGAGCAGUCCGAAGUGUUUUGGACCAUGAGUGCGAGCAUGUUUUGGACCGGUUCCACCUCACCACGAUCCGCUACCAGGGCUCGUUGAUUUUCGGCCUUUUUAGGAUUAUUAUUACAGGCUAGUAGUAAAAAGGAAGAAGUCCACUUUACGUCCCUCAACUUUCGCAAAAGUAUAUUUUUCAUCCCUAAACUUCAAAACCGGGUAAAAUACAUCCCUCAUUUUUUGAAACCAUGCAUAUUACGUCCCUGACAUGGUUAUGAGUGGUUUUGAAGGCAGUUUUAUCUUUUUCAUUUUUAUUUAUUUUGGCUGAAUAUUUGUAAAAUUAUAGUAAAUCACAUAAAAUUCAUAAAAUAGUCAAUCUGAUUUUGUUGGACUCCAGAUAAGUAGAUCUACAUAGUGAACAUAUAAUAUAGUAUGCUUUAGUACAAAAUUUUUAUUGUAGCUUUAGAACUAUUUUUUUAUAAUUAAUUAGAAUAAUAGCUAUAGUUUGUAUGGUCCAAUUGUGGUGAAUUUUUUAUUUUAGACUAAUUAUUAUAUGUUUAAACUAUGGUAAAAAAGUUCUUACUCAUUAGAUCAUGUAUAACUUAGUUAUAGAUUUAUUAUAAUUUAACAAGCAUAAACCUAAAUAAAUCUAUAACUAAGUAAUACAUGAUUCAAUGAGUAUAAAAUUUUUACUAUAACUCAAACAUAGAAUAAUUAGCUCGCCGCAUAAAUUUCAUCACAAUUAGACCAUAGAAAAUGUAGCUAUAAUUAGUCUAAUUAAUUACAGAAAAACAUAGAUCUAUAAAAAGAUUCGUCUCGUGAUUUACAGCUAAACUGUAUAAUUAGUUUUUGUUUUCGUCUAUAUUUAAUAUUUAAUGCAUGUGCCACAAGAUUUGAUAUGAUGGGGAAUCUUGAAAUUUUUUUGGUUUUCAGGUGAACUAAACCAGGCCCAAAAGCCCAAGGCACACAGAACACACGCAGCCAAGCCUAACUAGACGACUGCACGCAAGCAAUGACGACACAUGCUGAUCACUGGUGGCUGACGACGACGAGUGGUGGGCUUUUAGUCAAGCCAAAGUCCACGGAAAGUGAAAACCGGAAACCAGAAACGAGGAAAGCGUGUGAGCUGUGUGUGCGCGCGCGCGCGAGAUUACCUUAACGUCCAAUCCAGUAGUGCGCGCGCGUGCUAUUGAAAAUUCUACUCAUCUACUGCUACAGUACUACUAGGGCCUUGUUUACUUUAGAAAAGUAAAAAGUUUUCGGUGCUGUAACACUUUUGUUUAUUUGUGACAAAUAUUAUCCAAUCAUGGACUAACUAGGAUCAAAAAAUUCAUCUCGUGAUUUACAGCUAAACUGUAUAAUUAGUUUUUGUUUUCGUCUAUAUUUAAUGUUUCAUGCAUAUGCUAAAAAAUUCGAUGUGACGGGAAAUCUUGAAAACUUUUUGGUUUUAGCCGAUCGACCGAGCGGCCAUCUGGAACAAAAAUGCUCGAGAAAGAUGCAUGCUGGAAGAUUGCUAUCUUGUCCAAGACCUUGUUUAGUUCACUGUAAAAACUAAAAAGUUUUUUAAGAUUACAUCGAAUCUUGCGGCAUAUGCAUGAAGUAUUAAAUAUAAACGAAAAUAAAAACUAAUUACACAGUUUGCCUGUAAAUCGCGAGACAAAUCUUUUGAUCCUAGUUAGUCUAUGAUUGGAUAAUAUUUACCACAAACAAACGAAACUACUACAGUAGCAAAAAAAAAUCAAAAAAAUUUCACAUUCUAAACAAGUCCCAAGAUCCUAUAAGAUUCGGUUCUUGGUUCAUUGUGAAGACUUCCUCGCACGAGCGAGUAGGCAGGUGCAAGCUCGUUCGUGCGCACGUACGUUACGUGUGGCAGAAAAGUCAUCGACAUGACGACUACCGUGCAAAAACUUUGUGGAAGGAUUAACAGGGGAACGGAUAAGGGCGACGCCGGCUGUGCCUUUUAGCCCCAACUGCCCAAGCGAGCAUGCUUCUCUUUGAAUCUUUGAAUAUAAUAAUUCGUUGUUCUUUGAGGAAAUUAAAAAAGAAAAUACCGGGGCUAAUUACUCAUAUCCAUGUACAGGGACCAACAAUAGACUUACAUUCUCCUUAUUAAAAAAACAAUAAACUUAGAUUCUUCAAAGAGUUCAGUUUAGUGCAUCCCCUGUUCAAAGGUGAACACAACUAUUCCCAGAACAGGUUCGCAAAAAGGUGAAAAGAACAAGUAUUCCCGGGACAAAUGGCAUGGGAAAACGGUUACGACGAGAGGUCACCGGAUGCAGCAAAGACAACAUUCACUCGCAGACGAGAUGCAAACAGCUUAGGUGCGGCCCCAUCGAUUGAUCCAGAAUUAUUUAGCACAAGUUACAUUACACAGCCAAAGCAGCACAAACACACACGGUCUAAUCUGUACACCACCACCACCCAUCUCCACUCCACGACCGUCCUCCAUCCCAAACACAGGCUUAAAUUAGCAACCGGCAGCUAGCCAAACUUGAGCAACAAACCAUCAGGGGGGCUCGCUCCUACCGUCCUCCUAUGGACGCGCCGUGCGUCAGUCGGCGCCGUCACCAGUGGCGGCGGAGCCGCUCCCGCCCCCGCCCCCGCCGUCGCCGUUGCCGUUGUCGUCGUUGCCGCCGCUGCCGCCGGUGAAGUCCCUUAUGAUCUUUCUCUUGAUGUCGCCCCUCCUCGGGGUUGGAUUCCCGUGGGGCUUCUUCCUCUCCUCCUGCUUGUCCAUGCUGCCAAGUCACGCGCGCACGCAGCGCAGCGCAGGAACGGCCGCGGUGGGCGAGCCUCGAGGCUGAGAGUGGGUUUGUGUCGAGUGACGGCGCGCGAGUGACACCUGCGUAGAUUUGGGGGCUUCUUUUAUAGAGCCAAAUCGCAAACAGCCUAUUGACACUGGGUUUUUAUCUGUAGGAUAAAAUAUUUGGCUUGGGCAACGACUAAUCGUCGCAAAAGAUCAGCUUUGCAUCUAGGGCCUUGUUUAGUUCCGAAAAGUAAAAAAUUUUCGGUACUGUAGCACAUUCGUUUGUUUGUGACAAAUAUUAUCUAAUUAUGGACUAAGUAGGAUCAAAAGAUUCGUCUCGUGAUUUAUAGCUAAACUGUGUAAUUAAUUUUUAUUUUCGUCUAUAUUUAAUGUUUCAUGCAUAUGCCACAAGAUUCGAUGUGACGGAGAAUCUUGAAAACUUUUUGAUUUUCAGAGUGAACUAAAUAAGGCCUAGAGGUUUGGGGACUAUUUGCUCCUUUAGCCGGGCAUAGCUCGCAGCGCACCUCUCGCUUUCAGUGGCAUUGCGCCAUUGCUGAUGCCUGACAGUGGACCCGUGAGCAUCGGCUGCAUCGGUGCCGUGUGUAGUACGUACUGUGCACGAUCGAUUCAUUAUUGUGCAAUCCGAGGCCAGACAGGUGGAGGUGGUUGCGGAUGCCGUGAGUGUCACGAGUCACAGAUCUCACACACUCUCAGCUCCAUGACUGGAGUGGAGUCGCUCGGGGCGGGCGUGAUUGGUUGAUAGGAUUCAGCGUAGGCCUUGUUUAGUUUCGAAAAAUGAAAAGUUUUCGAUAUUAUAACAUUUUCGUUUGUUUGUGACAAAUAUUAUCCAAUCAUGGACUAAUUAGAAUCAAAAGAUUCGUCUCGUGAUUUAUAGCUAAACUGUGUAAUUAGUUUUUGUUUUCGUCUAUAUUUAAUGUUUCAUGCAUAUGCCACAAGAUUCGAUGUGACGGGAAAUCUUGAAAAAAUUUUGGUUUUUAGGAUGAACUAAACAAGGCCAUAAUGGGAAAAUAUGUGCUGCAAACCACAUGCUACGUGGAAAUAUGAAAACCAAUUCAAAAAUGUGAAGAAUUCAUGCAAAAAUGUUAAAUUUCAUAUGCAUGUGCACUAGAAGACAAAAUCAGCGUAUUUUUGUCUUUUAGUGCAUACACAUAUGAAAUUUAACAUUUUCGUAUGAAUUUUUUAGUUUGAAUUUGCUUCUCAUCUUUUACGUGUAAGUAUAUAUUUAUAUGCAUUAUGUACAUAUACCAAAUUUCAAGCUUUUUGAUAUCACCAAGAUAUGUUUUUUUAAUUGGUUUCCAUGUUUGCACCUAGCAUGCGGUUUACACCAUAUAGUUUCUCAGCAUAAUUAGGCCCGGAGAUCGAUUGAUUGGUUACAUCUAUCGAUAUGAUUAGUUGGAUGAAGUAGCAUAAGAGCGCCCCUCCCCUGGCUUCGUUCAAGUUGGGUGUGCCGUGUGCGGGACGAGGGAACAAUGGUUCAUCAAUCAGUAUCUUCUUGUGUCCUGCCUAGAUGGGCAUGUUUGGAUUUGAUCUAAAUAAACUUUAGCCCAAAAAUUUUGGAUUAUUUUAUCUCUUGAGACUUUAAAUAGAUAGUCUAAAGUUUAACUAAUCCCAAAUAGUGUUGAGGCUCCGAACAGGUUCAUUAGACCUUACAAAUAAGCUAAGAGUGAUUUAAAUUUUAGCCACUAAACUUUAGAUCAUGAGAUCUAGAUAGGACCAUAGAUUAAUAGUCAGAUACUCAUGAUCUGAUGAUACUUGUUUUCAUGAGCAAAUGUAUAGUCAGAUACUUGUUUUGUAUCAUAAAAAUUAGUACAUUUGUAUACAAUUUUGGUCAAACCUCAAGGUGUUUGACUCCUUGAAAACGAGAAUGUUUUGAGACCGAGGGAGUAAUCACCUUUGUUAAGUUUUUGUUCUUCUGUCCGUAUGAAUUUAUGUCUCAAAACAAUUGCUCAUGUAUAGUUUUUUAAAAGCCAAACUUUUAAGUUUAACAAAAAUGUAUAAAUAUAUUAGUAUUUAUGAUACAUAAUAAAUGUUCUUAAAUUAAUAAUGGAAUAUAUUUUUCUAUUGCCCUUUUUAAUGUUUGAGUACUUUUUGGGUUAAAAUGGAAAAAAUCGCACAAACUAUACAUUUGCUACUAUGAUAUCUGUUGUAGUCUGUUCCUAGUAGUGAGUAUAGCCUAUUUUCUCUAUCCUUAGGCUAUCUCCAACAAUGGAGACCUAAAUCAGAGACUCAUUCAAUGAUUUGGGUUAUGCACAGUAAAAGGGUCACCUCCCUAAAACUGUCCUUCUCCAACAGCCUACGCAAAAGUUCUCCCCAACCUCCUCGGAACGCAUCCUUGCCGCAUCGGUAGCACCUGGCCAUGGCCGCUUCUCCGCGUGGCUGCGCUCGCUGCGGAUCCACCUCGCCUCGCUCCCUACCUCACCCUGUCGGCUGCACGCCAGCGCCGCAAACCCCGCCUCACUCUACUCCCUGCUCCUCGCCGCGGAUCCAGCGAGCGGAUCCACCGCAGCCUUGCCCUCCCGACGGCACCAGGAGCAGCGCCCCACUGCCUGCGAGGAGGAAGAAGGGGAGGGCGCCCCACCUUGGCGUCCGCGCCCGGCCUGCGAGGAGGAAGAAGGGGAGGGCGCCCCACCUUGGCGUCUGCGCCUGGCCUGCGAGGAGGAAGAAGGGGAGGGCGCCCCACCUUGGCGUCCGCGCUCGCCCUGCGAGGAGGAAGAAGGAGAGGGCGCCCCACCUUGGCGUCCGCGCCCGGCCUGCGAGGAGGAAGAAGGGGAGGGCGCCCCACCUUGGCGUCUGCGCCUGGCCUGCGAGGAGGAAGAAGGGGAGGGCGCCCCACCUUGGCGUCCGUGCCCGGCCUGCGAGGAAGAAGAAGGGGAGGGCGCCCCACCUUGGCGUCCGCACCUGGAGAUCGAGCAGCGCCUGGCCACCGGUGUCGUCCUCCUCUCGACAGAGUUUGCGUCACCUCUCCGGAAGACGCAUAUUUGCGCUUUCCCUCAACUGCUGCGCAUAAUGGGUUGCUCGUUUGGGUUUUCCGUUGGAACGUGGAUUUGGUGAUGCAAAACAUUGUUCGCGAUGUAUUUUGCUUUUUGGGGUGGCUGUUGGAGACAGUCUUAGUGUUGCAUAGGUGGAUCUGCAAAAACCGAGACUAUUGGAUCCAUUGUGCGCGUGCUAUUUACCUGCAAACAACCCACCACAAAUUGGAUUCAGCGAAUAAAUGAUACAGUCGCCGAUACGGUAGUCCUACAGAGAAGAAGAGGAAGAACGGGAUUGUGAAAGAACGUAUAAAGAUAUCUUGUCAAUGUCACCGUCAUGCCUCAUGGGGCCUUGGACUUCUUCGCUCAGCCGGGUGAGCCGCAACAAUUGACCAAAUCGGUUUCUAGCUCAAUCCUUGAAGGUAUGAUUGCAAUCAUUCGUGUUUGCUAGAACUUAUCAACAGAGCUUAUCAAUUAUUGCAUAGUGUUUUUUUUCAAUAAAUUAGUGAACAGUGCUUUUCUACAUCAGCAUAGAUCAAGGCCUUGUUUAGUUCUAAAAUUUUUUACAAAAUAGAAAUAGUAGCACUUUCGUUUGUAUUUGAUAAAUAUUAUCCAAUCAUGAACUAACUAGGCUCAAAAGAUUCGUCUCGUCAAUUCCGACCAAACUAUGUGAUUAGUUUUUAUUUUCGUCUAUAUUUAAUACUCCAUGCAUGCAUCUAAAGAUUUGAUGUGAUGGGAAAUCUGAAAAAUUUUACAAAAUUUUUUGGGAACUAAACGAGGCCCAAAUUUCAGCAAUAUAGAAAAACGUAUAAUCACCUCUGUUAAGUAUUUCCUCUUAUCUUUGUUAGGGUGUGUUUAAGUUUAGGGGUGUCAUAUUAUGUGUCACGAGCGUGUCACAUUGAGUGUUCGGAUAGUAAUAUAUGUUUAUUAAGCUUAAUUAAUUCGUCAUUAACAUAUGUUUAUUGUAGCACCAUAUCGUCACUAAUUAGGUUUAAAAAUUUUGUCUCAUAAAUUAGUCACAAUCUGCACAAUUAGUUAUUUUUUAGUUUAUAUAUGUCCAAAUAUUUGAUGUGGCAGAGGCUAAACUUUAGAGGGACUAAAUAAGAUCUUAGGUUGUCUCCAACAGGAGACUCAUUUGGAAACUUAAACCUCAAAUGGGUCUCCAACGCAAUAUCUAUAGCCUCAAACAGAGUACCCAUACAGAAGACCCAUUUUGGGUAUCAGAAGAGGCACAACUCAAAUUUGGGUAUCCUCUCUCCUCGAGACCCAUUUGCAGAGAGUGUUGUCUUUUAGGUUUUGUUAUUGGAGAAGACUAAAAAAAAGGUAUAGAACUUUUUACCUGUAACGUUACCAAAGGACAAAUGAGUUUUCUAUUUUGGGCUGCGAGUGACAUAGGUGGUGAGCUUGCACGUCCAGGGCAUCCCCAACGGUUAGCCUAGGCCAAAUGCUAUUUGGGGGAAAGCAAGCCGAGCUCCGCGCUAGCGAGAUUGGAGUCACAUAUCUCGAAUAUCUUUCGAAAAACUCUUACUCACAGCUAGGGUCUUGUUUAGUUUCAAAAUAUUUUGCAAAAUCGAUACUGUAGCUUUUUCGUUUGUAUUUGACAAAUAUUAUCCAAUCAUAGACUAACUAGGCUCAAAAGAUUCGUCUCGUCAAUUUCGACCAAACUGUACAAUUAGUUUUUAUUUUUAUCUAUAUUUAAUACUCUCUGCAUGUGUCUAAAGAUUCGAUGUGACGGGGAAUCUGAAAAAUUUUGCAAAAUUUUUUAGGAACUAAACAAGGCCCUGGUUGCACUCUGCGUGUCUGAUACUCUGAUGCCCAUUUUUUUUAUUCUCCUCAAAGAUUAAGUCGCUGUUCAUUUCUCUGGUCUUGUUGGGAACGCCCUAAGACGCAGAUGGAAAACGAAGCUUGUCAGAUCAUCUGUUUGGGCUGGUCUGUAAUCUAGCGAAGAAAUGUGUGAAAUCAUCGCGGCGGAAGUUGACUACCCUCAGCUGCACUGAGGUGAAUCCUGUGACGGGGGAUCGGAGUCUCAGCGGUGCUCAGGAUUGCGGAACUUUAAAAGAGUAGUCCACACGAGUGGCAAUAACCUUGCUAGUAUAAACCAUCUUCUCGCAAUGAUGCUGCCAAACUGGAACUACAUAGGGAGAUGCCCAACUGCAGCUCCGUACAGCUAGCCAUCUACCGCGCGCAAAACUGAAACUAGCAGCGCAAACGUGAUUGGAAAAAAACAAAAAAAAACUGGAACUAGCUGUGGGGAUUCUAUACCGAACGAAGCAUAAUUACAGACAAGUCACAAGAACAACAAAGAGAUCGAAGAUCACACAGUGCAACACAAAGUGAGCAUUCAUUCAUAGAUCCAGCAGAGUGCGUCCCUGUCAGCCAAUCAAGAAUUAUUGCACAACACACACAAAGUUACAGAACCAGGCACACGAACCCCUCGAUCACCGAUCAACCACUCCAUAUUACCACCACCAUCCCAUGCACAUCCUACACAACAUUACAUACGGAUCGAAAGGCUUCAGGGAAACCUGCCGGCAGCCUAGCAGAAAUAAAGACUAAAGAGGCCAGCUCACUAAAGCAACGGCAACAAGCACGUACCAUCAUGCGGUCAGCCAGAAGCGUCGGCGGCGGCGCCGGCAGAAUCUCCACUGCCCCUCUUGCCGUUGCUGUCGCCGACGUUGCCGCCGUCACCACCAUCACCACCAGGGUUCUUGGUGCCCCCUCCGAUCAAGUCUUUGACGAUCUCUUUGAUGAUGCUGCCCCUCCGGAUGUUCGGGUUGCCGUGGGGCUUCUUUCUCUGGCCGUCCAUGGCGCCGCGCUCUCGCGCAAACACAGCUGCUUGGAACGCUGGCGACAGGCCCCAGCGGCACCCUGACUUGGGUGCGGCCGUGUUCGAGACUAGCUCGAGAGUGAGCACUGAGCAGGUGGACUACACGGGCUGACGGUCGAGGUGCUAUCCGCUAGCUAUCCCAUCUUAUUAUAUGCUAUAUAGGCAACAUGUCGUUUCUUUAAUUAACACAAAUGUUUUUGUCUUUUGCGCCAAGAAGUAUGUGGGAAAAAAAACUUAAAAACACUGAGGAACCUCAAGCAACGACUGGUCUAGAGUACCUCUAGGCUCUCGGUCUGGUUUUUGUGUUAUAAAUCAUAUUUUUUCUGUCAACUAAUUCUGUUUUUUUUUUCCUUGGCCUUCGCUGGAUACAGCCCGUAUAUCGGACGACGUGUGUCGUGCCGUGGCGCACGUCUCUCAUCGCGAUGACGUAAGUUGUAAAUCUCGGCUCUACGUCGCUGCAAUGACGCACGUACCAAUAGCAUGCACGUAUAGCGACGAGGCAGUGUGCUAUAGCCGCCUAUAGCGGAGCGCCAUGGCUGCACCUGCAUGAGCAUGUGACUCCGAUGGGCGAUAUGGCCGAUGCAUGCAGUCACCGGGCACGAAGACCAGUCUACAGUCCCACAGAUCAUUGCAAAUGGAUCGUCAGGUCACCCUCGUGGGGCUCGUAGCUUGUACGGCGCACGUGGCACUGGACGACUUGUUGACCCAGGCUGUGGCCGGCAGCUCAUUUUUUAUCUGCUGGUGUGUUGGGCUGGUGGCCUGGCGCCCUCGUGGACGUGGUGGUCUUGCUUGUGCUUGGUGGACCGAACCCGAACCUGACUUACCCAAAGCUCUGUUCCUUUGGUCCCCCAACUAACGGGAUUGGGAGGAAAUGAGGAGGAUUAGGCUUUGUUUAGUUUCCCGUCUAAAUUUUUUUAUUCAUCUCAUCGAAUCUUUCGGCAUAUACAUAAAACAUUAAAUUUAGACGGUAAAAACUAAUUAAUUAUAAAUCGCGAGACGAAACUUUUAAAGUUAAUUAGUCUAUAAUUAGUCAUAAUUGCUACAACAACCAACAUAUGUUAAUGACGAAUUAAUUAGGUUUAAUAAAUUCGUCUUGCAGUUUCAAACGAGUUAUGUAAUUUUUUUAAUUAGUUCACGUUUAAUAUUUUAAAUAUAUACCGAUAUAUCUGAUGUGAUACUUAUUUUUUUUCUGAACUAAACAAGACCUAAAUAAAUAAAUAAAAGUCAAAAUCCACGUUAACCCUCUUUAACCCCCACAGGCCACAACAACCGAACAAGCCCUGAAGUGGCAUCCCGCUCCGCGCCCGAUCUUGCCCGCGAUCGUGUCGCAGUGAUAGUCAGGUCUUGUUUAGAUACAAAAAGUUUUGGGAUUUUGACACUAUAGCAUUUUUGUUUUUAUUUGACAAAUAUUGUCUAAUUAUGGAGUAAUUAGGCUUAAAAGAUUCGUCUCGUGAUUUACAGUUAAACUGUGCAAUUAGUUAUUCUUUUUAUCUAUAUUUAAUACUUCAUGCAUGUGCCGCAAGAUUCGAUGUGACGGAGAAUCUUGUAAAGUUUUAGGUUUUUUGGUGUAUCUAAACAAGGCCUCAGUCUCUCGUCGCCGUGCGCUGCGCCGGAAUGGGUGGAUGGAUGGAUGGAUGAACAUUGUUUUCAGGUGAUGUCAACAGGGAAUUUUGUGUCGAGGAGUGCUUUUCUAACGCUUUGUUCUUUGGUGGCUGAUUUAUUGUGAAAGAAAAAUACCGUUGAAUGGCUGACAUAUUUGACUGAUAAGCCCAAACGAACAAAACAGAUCUGUCUCCGUGGGGAAGAAACUUCCUCCAUCUCCGUCCCCACCAAAUGUCACGAGGGAGAUUUUCUCCCCAUCACUGUCUCCGUGCGGGGAAUAAUCCUCGUGGAAUUUCCUGUAUCCACGUUAGUUCAUAUCAGUUCAUGUGAUGUCAACUAUUCACAUAUUCACGAAUUCGUAUUAAUGGUAUACAAACAAAUUCCUUCUACAAAGAUUCAUAUUUAAGACGAAGAAAGUGAAGGUUUAGGGUUUUAACUUUGUUUAUACUAGGAGCAUACCCCGCGCGUUGCUGCGGGAAUUGCGGAUUAAUGGAUUGCGUAGUACGAUGAUGUGGACUAUACUUAUUUUUGUCUUGCUGGCGUGGACAGUACAAUUAUCAUAUGUGCUAUUGGAUUUUAAUUGUAUAUAUGUGGUAGCACAUUGCAUGUUGAGAUAAAUAGUUAUUAAGGUUUUACUUAGUGGAUUUUAACUCAAUAUGGUAGUGCAUUGCUUAGGUGGAUAGUUUGCAUGCUUAGAGAAAUACUUAGUGGGGUUUAGAAUUAUAAGAGUUAUAGAUACCACAGUUAUUGGACCUUGCAAGUAUAUGGGCCUUUAAAAUCGGAUCCCCGUGGGGAGUGGGGGACGGGUCAUGCAUACCAUCUCCGGCCAUGUGAACCCCGAUAGGGUCAACUUUAGCCUCGUUUAAUUUCCCCGUGAGAGCAAAUUAAAUCUAUACCAUCUCCGUUCUCUAUGGGUGAAUUCCCCACGGAAAAUCGUAAAACGGGCCCGUUAACAUCUCUGUUCCCAUUAGGCUAGACAGCUGGAGCAAGAGUGUGCUCUCGCACUGCUCCUCAGCUCUGCCCUCUUGGAUUCGAUAACUAGAGCGACCUAGAUUGCCUCAUCACUCUGCUUGGAUUGUGCCGCCGCUCUGUCUCUCGGCUCGUCGCAUUAGGUUAGUUUUAGGCCUUGUUUACUUCCAAAUCUUUUUGCAAAAUAUGAAUAUUAGCCCUUUCGUUUAUAUUUGACAAAUAUUGUCCAAUUAUGGACUAACUAGGCUCAAAAGAAUCGUCUCGUCAAUUCCGACCAAACUGUGCAAUUAGUUUUUAUUUUCAUCUAUAUUUAAUACUCUAUGCAUACGUCUAAAGAUUCGAUAUGACGGAGAAUCUGAAAAAUUUUGCAAAUUUUUUAGGUAACUAAACAAGGCUUUAAUGGAGAUUUUAUGUCACAUGUAUCAACACAUCUAAAUUUUAGAAACAGUGUAGAAGAGUUUUAUGUAUGUAAAACUCUCUCUGACAAAACUCUUAUCAUAUUUUUUUUAUUAUUAAAACUGGUGUGGCGGGCCACCACCGGCGCCUUUGGGUUCGGAACCUCGAGUGGAUCCGCACUUCCGCAGCCGCAGGCAUGUUCAGGCCCUGUUUAGUUCCCCACCCAAAAUUUUUUCAUCCAUCCCAUCGAAUCUUUGGACACAUAUAUGGAACAUUAAAUGUAGAUAAAAAAUAAACUAAUUACACAGUUUAGUUGAGAAUCACGAGACGAAUCUUUUAAGCCUAGUUACUCUAUGGUUAGCCUUAAGUGCUACAGUAACCCACAUAUGCUAAUGAUAGAUUAAUUAUGCUUAAUAAAUUUGUCUUGCAGUUUCCUGACGAGCUAUGUAAUUUGUUUUUUUAUUAGUUUCUAAAAACCCCUUUCGAUAUCUUUUCGACACAUCCGAUGUGACAUUCAAAAAAUUUUCAUCCCCAAUCUAAACAGGCCCUCAAUGAACACGUGCUUCGUUGACAGACGGUCAGACGCCACCACCCGUCUAUGGAGUACGGUCCACCCCGACGCGACAGUGACCGGCAGGCCGCAGGCAUCUGCGCACGCCGCCAGGCUUGCCAUGGCGUGCCGUCAAGACGGUAGAGGUCCAUUCUUCGCUCUGAAGUCACGGGGCGCCGGGCGGAGACCUGAGCCAUGCAACCUCCAAGGGCCAAGUGGCAGAGGUGGGGCUACCUUUGGAUCGCCACAGGCCCACAGCGAUCUCGGUGGAAUCCGGGCAGAGCUGAGGAGCAAAACACGGUGGACGCUCCAGUCGUGACUUGUUUACUUUAAAAAAAAAACUAAAUUUUUUUAAAAUUCCCCGUCACAUCGAAUCUUUAGACGCAUCUAUGAAGUAUUAAAUAUAGACAAAAAUAAAAACUAAUUGAACAAUUUGGUCGAAAUUGACGAGACGAAUCUUUUUAGCCUAGUUAGUCCAUAGUUGAACAAUAAUUAUCAUAAACAAACAAAAGUACUACAGUAAUACGAAAUUUUUUUCUUCGCGAACUAAACAAAGCCUAAAUACGCCGUUGCUUCGGUCCGAGUCAGGCAGUGCGACAAAAAAGGCUCGCCACUUUUCUCGUCCAGUCGUCUUCGCCACUGAAGCCGCCGAUGCCGUGUCGGGCCCAAUCAGCAGGUGCUGCUUGCAGUGCAAGACUUCACCAUGAAGCACUCACUGGCUGACUGAGUGACUGGCAACAUCUUCGCAUGCAUGUCACAACAUGAUCGUGUAGAACUAUGCACAGGGGCAUAACUGCAUACUCCGUAAAAGAAAAGAUUACAAGAUUCGUUUGUUUUUUGAUUUUAACACUGUAUCACUUUUGUUUUUAUUUGACAAACAUUAUUCAAUUAUGCAGUAACUAGGCUUAAAAGAUUCGUCUCUCGAUUUAUAGACAAACUGUAUGAUUAGUUUUUAUUUUUAUCUAUAUUUAAUGUUUCAUAUAUGUGCCGCAAGAUUCGAUGUAAUGAGAAAUCUUGAAAAAGUUUUUGGUUUUUGGUGUGAACCUAAGAUGUAUCCAUCGCUGCUCUACAUUUAAGGAUUUUCACGGCCAGUUCCAAAAAAGGCCUUAUUUAGUUAAAAAAAUUUGCUAAAUUUUUCAGAUUCUUCAUCACAUCGAAUCUUACAGCACAUGUAUGAAGCAUUAAAUAUAAAUUAAAAAAUAACUAAUUGUAUAGUUAGCCUGUAAUUUGCGAGACGAAUUUUUUAAGCCUAGUUAGUUUAUAAUUAGACAAUAUUUGUCAAAUAAAAACAAAAGUGUUACAGUGUACCUUUUGCAAUUUUUUUGCAAUUAAGGCCUUGUUUAGUUCCGAAAAAUUUUGGAAAAUCGACACUGUCGCACUUUCGUUUGUAUUUGACAAAUAUUGUCUAAUCAUGGAUUAACUAGGCUCAAAAGAUUUGUCUCAUCAAUUUCGACCGAACUAUGCAAUUAGUUUUUAUUUUUGUUUAUAUUUAAUAUUCCAUGCAUGCGUUUAAAGAUUUGAUGUGACGAAGAAUAUGAAAAAUUUUGCAAAAUUUUCUGGGAACUAAACAAGGCCUAAACAAGGCUUGCGGUUGUCCAAUGCCUACCGGGAAGUAUCGGGAUCCCAAUACGUGAACUUCUGUAUACACGCAUAGUCAUUCUGUAAGCCAUACAUCGUUGGUUCGAGAAUAGGCCUCAUUUAGUUGGUGGGUGAAAAGUUUUUAAACGUUAUAUUGCAUGUUUUAUAAAUUGUUGGAAGAAGUGUUUAAAUACUAAUUAAAAAAUUAAUUAUGUAACUCGUUUGGAAGCUGCGAGACGAAUUUAUUGGCAUAUGUGUUAUUGUAGUAUUAUGACUAAUUAUGAACUAAUUAUGCUUAAAAGAAUCGUUUCGUAGUUUUUAUAUAAAUUGUGUAAUUAGUUUUUUAAUUUAUAUUUAAUGUUUUAUAUAUGUGUUCAAAUAUUUGAUGAGACGGGGUGAAAUUGGAUGGGAAUAAAGAAGGCCUAAUACUAGAACAGAGCCUUUUCAAGUGAAACAGAGUACGCAACCACAAUGCAGAACAGAGAGAGCAGAGUUCUUCGCUAAAAAACUUCAGAAUUCAGAUUAUCACCGUCGUGUGAAUUCUGAACUAGUCUAUCCAAAAGCGUGUUCAGUGCUUUUAUGAUAGGUAUGGACGAAGUAUGUUUCAGAUACGUAUCGCAGGUAUCUGAGAAGUAUUAGCAUCAUCAUAAACGAGCUUUCACAAACCUCAACGAAUCAUAGUUUCAGUUUCAGGUUCAGGUUUUCCCUUCAAGAAGAGUAAUCUUGUUCAAGUGAAAGAAACAGAGUACACAACCGUAAUGCAGAGCAGAACAGAAAUCCAUCACCAUUACAUCAAGUGAACGUUAGAUAUGCAUCGUGGCCUUGUGGGUAAGAAGUAAGAACAUUGAGGCCCCGUUUGGAUCCUUUUAUUUUGAAGGAAUAAGAAUCUCUUUAAAAAAUUAGGCUAUUUGACUUAGAAUUUGAGAUUCCACAACUUUUUAAAGUUCACGUAUAAGCCUAUCUCAAAUUCAUAGGGGGCGAUGGGAAAUAGAUUCUAUAGAUUCUUUCUUCUUUUUUCUCUAAUUUAAGUAAAGAUGUAGAAUUUCUUCUUUCUUCUUCCAUAAUUAUAGUUUAUUAUAAUGAAUUCAAUUUUAAGGAUCCAAAUGGACCCUAAGAAAAUUCAUCAAAUAACAAGAGUAAUGCUUGUUCAAGUGAAAGAAACAGAGUACAGAACCGUGAUGCAGAGCAGAACAGAAAUUCAUCACCACUAGUACAUAAUAUCCACAAGACAGUGGUGACCUCAAAAGGAAAGAGCCUUUUUGCCCAUGUACUAAGACACUGAAGUCGGAGUUCAGACUUCAGAUACUCCAUUCACAGAAAGCUUCCGAAUUCAGUUCAUUCAUUCACAGCCAAGGUCUGAAUUCUGAAUCCCAUACCAUUAUACACAGCUUACCCGAAGUGCACACCCCCACCCACCCGAUCCCACCCCCGAGGAUUCUCGGCAGGUUCAAGGACCGCCGCUGCAGGCUGCAGCAUUUCUCAACGGGGAUCGUGGCAACCCCGCAUCUUGAUUCUCCUUGUUAUCUCGCCUCGGUCAAACCGCAUCAGCCACCGGGGAAAACGCGGCGGUGGCUGCUGCCAUCUUUGUUCUUGCCGCCUUCCUUGCGGGCUGGUGCCUUGGGGACGAUGCACCGGAACAGGCUCGCGAAGAUGCGCACCUUGAUCUGCCCGCGCCGCGGUAUGGUCCGCCUCGCCGCCUCUUGCUGCUGCUGCCGCUCCAUCGUCGCUGCGGGUGGGUUCUUGCUCACGAAGGCACGGGAGUCUGGGGACUGGAGAGCCGUGUGGCUUGUGUCGUGUUGUGUCUGAUGUCAGAGUGAGUGAGUGACAGGGGGCAGGCGGAGGCUUUGCCGUUUUAUAGCCGCAGAGUGCAGAUGAGAUGCAGGGGAUGCUGGGGCCUGGGGGCUUGGGAUCGGGAAGAGUGGGGGCCAAGCUUACUUGGCGAGCAAGGAGCUCCUCACUGAAGUUCGAAAACAUCUAGAACACCUGUGGGCUUGCCCCUUCCACUACAGCUCUGGGCCAAGCUUAAGGCCUUGUUUAGUUCACUCAAAAAUCAAAAAAUUUUCAAAAUUCUUCGUCACAUCGAAUCUUAGAGUACAUGCAUGAAGCAUUAGAUAUAAAUAAAAACAAAAACUAAUUAUACAGUUUGCCUGUAAAUCAUGAUAUGAAUCUUUUGAGCCUAGUUAGUCUAUGAUUGUAUAAUAUUUGUAAAAUAAAAACGAAAAUACUACAGUACCGAAAUCCGAAAUCUUUUAGAAACUAAACAAGGUCUAAGUCUCAGUCUCAGGCCUUGUUUAGUUCCAAUUUUUUUUGGAAAAAUAACACUGUAGCAUUUUUGUUUUUAUUUGAUAAACAUUGUUCAAUCAUGGAGUAACUAGGUUUAAAAAAUCCGCCUCACGAUUUACAGACAAACUGUGUAAUUAGUUUUUAUUUUUAUCUAUAUUUAACACUUCAUAUAUGUGCCACAAGAUUCGAUGUGACAGAAAAUCUUGAAAAGUUUUUGGUUUUUGGUGGGAGCUAAACAAGGCCUCAGUUCUCUGUCGGGCAAGACUCUGUCUUGUACUCCUACUGUUCAGUUCAUAAAGACUCUAUCAAAAACCAAAAAAUUUUCAAGAUUCUCUGUCACAUCGAAUCUUACGGCACAUAGAUGAAACAUUAAACAUAGACGAAAAUAAAAACUAAUUAUACAGUUUGGCUGUAAAUCGUGAGACGAAUCUUUUAACCCUAGUUAGUAUAUAAUUGGACAAUAUUUGUCACAAACAAACAAAAAUACUAUAGUAGCGAAAUCCAAAAAGUUUUCAUAUAAACAAGACCAAAGACUCCGUCUUGUAGUAGCGUGCUGCUUGGCCCCUGCUAAACUUCCAUGGUAUCUGGAUGCACUGUCAAGUGACAGCUGUACAAUGUGAAGGAUAAAUAACAAAAGUACUACUAGUAUGGGAAAUACUCAGCCACCUCUGCUGGUUACCAGCGACCGAAUCAGUUUUACAAUAACAAUGGCAACCAGCCAGACUGGUGUUUCAGUGUUUCGGUCGAGUAGUCACAAAGCUGAUCUGAAAAAUGUUGGAUUACGACUGGCGACUGGCUAGAUUCUGCGAUCAGCAAUCCAGCUGCCUUGCCAUUGAAAAUUAUGCCCUUAUCUGGCUGUCCAAUUGCCCAUGGUGAUUGUACAUGGUCUAAGCAUUAAUCAAUAUCUAGAAAUGGGAUUUGGUCUCCAAACAAGAACAGAUGGGCCAAAGUUGUUAGAAGAAAUUAUUUGUAAUCCAGAGAGCAGUUGACUUUAAUGACAUACUACCCCUGUGGCCAACCUAUUCCGUUCACACAGGGCGAGGAAGUCUUGGUCAUCGGCAUGGACCAAUUUUCUGUUUGCUACUGUCUAGAAUCCAAGGCAAAUGCAAGAGCAACAAAAGCAAGAGACAAAAAUAACUAUCACGGUAAUGAUUCAUAAAAAAACAUUGUAACUUAUAAGUUCUGCACUGUUCUUUUUCAUCUGAAAUGUAAACAUUUUUUUAUUAGUGAAGGACUGAAGAUAGCACAUAAACAACUCCAGAUGCUCUAAACAGCCUGGUAUCUUAAGAAUGCUAAAAUUAUGGUUUGUAAUUUCAGAACCGAACCAAUCUCUUUUUUAUUAGACCGACACUGCAACAACCCACAAGAGUCAAAACUUGGAAACUGUUCAAGCCUGAAGGAUGAGAAGUCUGAAGUUUGACUUGAUCCAAGAUGCUGCAUAUAAAGAUGUAACGAUCAAAUUCUUCAAUAUAAUGUGAGAGCUCAGAAAUGCUAUUUUAGAAUUGCACUUCCUCUAUAUGUUAUAUAUUCAAAACAAGAUGUUAAAAGCACACUAUCCUGAUGCCUCCAACACAGCAACACAAGAGACAUAAGCCAAUUAAUUAGGGCUAGGAAACAAGGUUAGUUAGAUAGCUUUACAUCUAAGCAAGAUUCCUGUCUGCCUAGGGCUUAUUAUUGUAUGAAGACAAUGAUCUGUCUUUUUUGACUUGAAUUUGUCUGUAACAAGAAACAUGAUUCUCAUGUGUACAUCAGUCUCCCAUUGAUACUUUCCACAUGUCCACUUGCCCAAUAGUCCUAACACUACAAACUACAGUUCACUGUUAAUACAGCUAAUAUUCGAUGAUCACACAUUGUAGUUGCUGAGAAGUGAGACCAUGCACAGAAAUUACAUCAGGAGUAUCAACAUGUAUUAUGAAUUAUGAUUUAGUAUUGAAUACCGACCAACAUAUUAUUCUACCUGACUCAAAUAUAUUUCAUCGUUAUAAUGGAGGAAUAAAGACUCAGUAUACAAGUGAAGAAAACCUCCGGAAUGGAAUGGAUGUGGUGUUAUAUACUACUUGAUUGCACUUGAAGCAAUACUACUAUAGUUGGUGUAGUAGUAGUACUAUAUUGAAACAAUACAGACUUCCCAUUUGAAAUAUUGAUUUACAGCUCACAUACUAGCUGCCACUUCUGCAGUUACUUGGGAGGAACAACUAGUGUAUAGAUUAGUAAUGUCAAGACGAUGAUAAUCGCCCCUACCAAGGUAAACUGGGGACUUGUCCACAGCAUCAAGUAAGAUCUUUCAGUUCUCUUGAUUGGAUCAACUUCUUCUGACAAUGGAUACUCACUGCGCCGUGGGUUCCAGGUCACAUACUUGUCUGGUGAGAAAUCAGAAAAGAGCUUCCCUUUCUUCUUAAACGUAGCCCAUGCGUUGUCCCAGUCAGCAGAGGUUUUCACCUGAUGAGUAAGAGAAGACACGUUUGUUGCUACCUUCAUAACAGUAUCUAAAAUAAACUAACUAUGAACAAAUAAGAAGUGCAGAUUUUUUCUUGUUUAUAAAGGAAGGCUGGAAUGUGUGCCAUGCAUCUUAAUAAAAAAGGAAAGCGAGAAGUCUAAAAGUUAUGGUCACAUCAGAAGAUCUAAACGACGAUCAAAAUCUAUACAAAAGGUGUAACCUCCUAAUGCUAACUUUCUUUCAGCAAUAUCCUCCCUGAUGAAGUAGUGGAUGCUAUCUAGUUGUCAGAUUUGAUUUUUGAAACACUUUAUGGUUUGGUUUAUUCCAACAGUUUCACAAUUUGUAGACAAGGAUGCCAGUCACUUCCUUACUCCUUUCCGCUGGAACUAACACUAGAAUCCACUACCACUUCUCUAGGAGGCCUUUUGCAAUUGCAGACUAGAGCUACAGUUAGCUAUGUACAUCCAGUUAAAUUUUGUCCAAACAUCCUGUGCAAAGGAACAAUAUGAAGUAAUAUCCUUUGUGUUUUCAGGUUGUUGGGAACAAAAUUUGCGAAUUAGAAUGGUGUUCCGUCCUAUCCUUGCAAGCUAUCUGUGGUUAGAAUUUUGUUUUGCAGGCGAGCCCCAAGUCAUCUUCUAAUAUUUUAUUAUAUGCUUGCUGUACAUAGGAGUUGGUAUUGGCAAUUUUUCAAGAUACAGCAAUAUAGCUAACCUUCUAUGCAGAGCAAAGGGAAGGAGACAUGCACUCAUUUCUUUUUUUUUUCUGUUUUCCUUCAGGAGGGACUUGCAAAUAACAUUUUUAAAAUACUAUUUUAUCAAUACAUAAAACAUUAGGAUACUAGUUUGCUCUUCUAUUAUUUUCCCUCCAGAAGAGAACAAGUUGCAUUGCAUGAUAUUGAUACCAGUGUUCUGCUAAUGCAUUUCCCCAUUUAUCCAUUCUAUCAUCUUAUAGCUUCAACAUUAACAUUAAACCUAUUAGGCUCUGUUUCAAAAGCCUAUGUUUUCUUCUCCUGGAUACAACAGUUAGUUGAAAGUAUUUUUUAAAGCUACCAUGGUAUAAUCUUAACUUAAUUAGCAAGGGCUCCUCUAACAAAUUAGAUUCGAUAGGCAGUAUAACAACAAAAUUCUGACAAUAUAAGCGGGUUCUCAGAUCGUGCAUGACCUUGUAUCAUAAUGUAGAACAGACUUUUUAAAAAGAACUGUAAGACAGAAAUUCAUAAUUCAUCACCAACUAUCCACCAAAGCAAAUGCAUGGAUAAGCAGUAUCAAAGCCAAAUAUUGACCACCCCGAGUCCAGUGAUUCGUAACUUUUUGGCAUAAAUGGAUUACGUAUAUGAAAAAAUAAAACAAACUUGAGUGUGGAGAUCUCUAGAAGGCUGAAACACUGCUUUCUCUUCUUCGAAACGAUCAUAGUUCUGACAAUUGAAAAACAGAGAGAAGGUUUCCAGUAUGGUGAAGGAAAGUUUGCAGCGUGUCAAAGACCAAACAUGGACUAAAAAUUGGCUACAAUUAGUCUGGACCUAACUACUGGAUUGUGCACUGUAAACCUCACUCAGAGAGGCAAAUGUAUACACACGUUGGCUUACGGUCACAGACAACCCCUCGCGAUCAAGUAAACAGAUCAGAUCAACCUAAACGAGGAAAGCAGGCAGUUGCAUCCUGAAUUCCUGAUGUGAUGACUGGGCAAUUUAAACCGUACUAUAUCUCACUGGAGUAGCCAUACUCACGCUUCAAUGACAAUGCCUGACCGACAUCGGCACUAAGGCCUUGUUUAGUUCACCCUGAAAACCAAAAAGUUUUCAAGAUUUCCCGUCACAUCGAAUCUUGUGGCACAUGCAUGAAACAUUAAAUAUAGACGAAAUUACAAACUAAUUACACAGUUUAGCUGUAAAUCACGAGACGAAUCUUUUAAUCCUAGUUAGUCCAUGAUUGGAUAAUAUUUGUCACAAACGAAAGCGAAAGUGCUACAGUACCGAAAACUUUUCACUUUUCGGAACUAAACAAGGCCUAAACAAGCAAUCCAGUGUGGCAUUUUACCAAACACCUAACGGUGGCAGCAAGGAACUUGACAGCCAUGACCUAUCAGAUCGCUUACCUUUAUCGCUGCCGCUUUUGUCCGGGGAGCCUCGAGAGCAGCGAGGGACGAGCACGAGUGGAGUCCGUCGCGCCAAGAAUCUCUCAGAACCUAGCAGUAUAUCCAUGCCUGCCAAGAUUUUAUCAACCUGGCAGGACUCCCGAUCGGAGAUUCUUUUUUCACUCCUUUAUUCCUAUUCCUUUCGCCUCGCGGAUUCUUUUCCUCUUAUCCCGGUUGCAGGGGAGACUGGUGGCGGAGAAGGCGUAGCAGGGGACCUGAGACAGCGAGAGGAGCAGGGUGCGCACUUGCACUUGCGCUUGCGUGAAAGAAAGGAGCCAGACGAGUCAAACUGCACUGCCGCAGCUCGCAGUGUGUGGCUCUCGCUGUGUACGAGAGAACCGUCCGUUACGCCUUUGGGUAAGGCCAGCGCAAGGAAAACUGCAGUCCGUUGUUUUUCAAAUGGGAAGGUAUGAAGCUGUGAAAGUCUGCUAAAAUUUUGCAACAUUAGUUGUCUUGCUCGAAAUUUCUUUGAUCCACAUCCAUUUACUAACAGCAUAUCAUCAUGUUAGAACCAAAUAAGUCCUUAGUUGCUAACCAUCCCCUUCCUGGUUACACGCCUCGAACAUUCUAACACAGUAAUAUAGGAUAUUCCAAACUCCAUAAUUAUUCUAAUUUAUCUGUGCCAUUUAAAAUUAUAACAGAACCUAAAAGCUACCCAUGUAGCCAUGUUUAACUUUGAAUUUAAUAACUUAAUAGUAGCUUUGAAUUUCAAUCCAAUAUCAUAUAGAAAGAUAAAUAUAUCAUAAUUCACGAAAAAGUGUCUUUUGCACACCAACAAAAGCACCCUGGGAAUCCAACCGUGUCUGGCUUGCCACAGGAGUGAACCUGGGUGUGAGAGACUGGAAGCGGAGGGCGGGCGCACGUCUGCGAGAGAGCAAACACACUAAACGUUGAUCGUCAAAUUUGGUUGAGUAAUAAGGAGAAAGAAUAUUUGAGAGAUGACCUGGUACCUCUGUUUCUAUGAUGUUACAUUUUCUAGAUGCAUUUGGUUGUGUGAACGAAGUAAAGAUCAUCUUCGUGGAGCAGACAAUAGCGAAAUAGAUCUAAAAUAAUUCUAACCGGUGGUUUAUUAGGGGUAGAGAUAUCACUUUCACCUUACAACUGAGAAUUCAAACAUAAAAAUUUAAGAAAGUUUAGAAAGUAAUAUAUGGACUUAUGCUUGAAAGUUUCAACAACAGAACAACUUUUACCAGACAUCCAUAAAAUAUGACAUGAAAAUGUCAUAUAAAAUCACCUAUUGCUAGCUACUUUGUUUAGAUCCGAUUUUUUUUGGAUUUUGACACCGUAGCUCUUUCCUUUUUAUUGACAAACAUUAUCCAAUCAUGGAGUAAUUAAGUUUAAAAAAUUCGUCUCGCGAUUUACGACAAACUGUGCAAUUAGUUUUUAUUUUAAUCUAUAUUUAAUAUUCCAUGCAUUUGCCGCAAAGUUCGAUGUGAUGAGAAAUUUUAAAAAGUUUUUAGUUUUUUGGGGUGAACUAAACAAGGCCUUAGUUUAUUUAUUGGUUGUUGUAUCGCUUUGCCCAAUGAAGAUUCUAAGGCCUUGUUUAGUUCCAAAAAAAUUUGUAAAAUUUUUCAGAUUCUCCGUCACAUCGAAUCUUUAGACAUAUGCAUGAAGUAUUACAUAUAGACGAAAAUAAAAACUAAUUGCAUAGUUUGGUCGGAAUUGACGAGACGAAUCUUUAAGUCUAGUUAGUCUAUCAUUGAACAAUAUUUGUCAAAUACAAACGAAAGUGCUACAGUGUCGAUUUCCUAAAAAAAUUGGAACUAAACAAGGCCUAAGCGAGAUUAUAUGUGUUUGGUUUCCUUGCUCGGGCACUUCGAAGUUCGUGUAGUCGAUAUUUCGCUUGCUCACAUCACCUGACGGACGAGUUUCUCGUUGCUCAUACCAGCUAGGUGACUAGUAAGAUAGGACCAAGACCAACACAUGCUUUUGUCAAAAAAAAAAAAAAAGACCAACACAUGCCUUAUGUCUAUCUGGACGACGCCGAGAGACACCACGCGCGAGGCUGCAGCUACACCAAAAGUUGACGAUCAAUUUAUCUACCACAAAUUCGACGAGUGGUGACGUGAAAAGUGAAUUGCAUUUUGCUAGUAUGGUGCCAAAGCUCUAGAAAUGAACCAAACAUUAACCAAAACUGCGGCAUGGCCUUGACCAUCUGUUCUCUUUUAUCUAUUAUUUUUUUAUUACUACUUCUAUAAAAAAUAUUUCUAGAUAUAUUUGGAAUUAAGUUAUUUUAAAUCCGAGUAAAGUUUUUUUUUUAAAAAAAUAUUAUCAACUCCACUCCACACAGUCAGCUUUCCUAUCCAAACUAAUAAAAUCCGCGCCACCCAAAAAAACCCACCACGCUUCCAUCUCCACUCCCCACUCCCACAGUCCCGCUCCCCCGCCAUGGCCUUGGCCAUGACCUCCUCGUCCCCGCAGCCACCGUCCCCUUCCCACCGCCGCCGUCGUCGCUCGCAACCCGCCACCCCCACCCCCAAUGCCAACCCCAAACCUAAACCCAAACCCAGGGCAAAGGCCCUCCCCCUCCUCUCCGACGUCGGCGUCGGCCGCGACCCCGCCGCCAUCAAGUACUACGCCCGGGUCGCAUCCAACCUCGCGGGCGCCGGCCGCCUCCGCGAUUUCCUCCUCGCGGCCGAGGGCCUCCGCGCAGCCGCGGGCGACGACCCCAGCUUCGCGGCGCGCAUCAGCGCCCGUCUCCUGUCGCGCGGCGUCGCCGCCGCUGUCCGAGAGCGCGGACUGCCCUUCGUGCUCGAGUUCUUCCGAGACGCCGAGCGUGUGCGCGUCCCCGCAGUCGAGAUGCUCGACGCCGACGCGUCCGACACUGUCGCCGGCGCCUGCCGGAUGUUGCUGGAGGAGCGACGAAUGGUGGAGUUCGUGGAGGUCGUCGAGGCGCUAGCUCGUAAUAUUGCCCCCCAAUCUCUUCAUGUCUAUGCUGCAGUUAGAGUUUCCCCCUAUAUCAUAAUGUUGGCGUGAAGUCUAUGCUUCAGCUAGUUGAUUCACCUACCUUGGUUGGUGCAUUAAUCGCGAUUGCCAAUUGGUUCGCUAAUGUAGCUUUAUGCACUGAUGAUCACGUGCUUACCAUGUUCUUAGACGUGCCUCAGGGUGGAUGUGGAUCUCUCAAAUUUCUAAUCAGUAGCAGUAGUUUUCAUGCUAGAUGCAUCAAUCUCUUUAGUUUAUUGAAUGGUUUAGUAGUUUUCAUGCACGAAUUGGCAUGUCAGUAUUAAGACUGCAGUUAGGAUGCUAAUUUCAGUAAGAUAAUCGAUCUGUUUGAUAUCAUCAGCUAGCAGUUGACUUAUGGUUUCUACCUGGUUAUGAGACAAUACAUCUCAUUUUUGUUGUGCAGGAUGUCCUUUUUUUAUGUACAUAUUGCAUAAAUCCUGCUUUAAAUGUAAGCAUGUGCCCUUGUCUUUUUAGUUUCUUUCAGAACUUAUUAGAACUUGGCAGCACUACUGCUAACGAUAAACAUGUUGUGAUUCUUAAUGACUUGGACAUGCAGACUAACAAUCAGCAGCUAUUUGCUUGCUAUACAAUGCUGUUUAUGUUCUAGAAGUUGAUUAUUGCACAAUGUAUCGUUGGCAUAAUUACCGAUGAGGUGCAUUGGUCUGCAUGUUACCAACAUACUAUUUUCUUGUAUUUUGUUUGCAGAAAGUUUUCAUUGCUGUACAUCCUGUGUAGUUGGCAACACUCUUCAUGUGUGCUCCCUCCAUUCCAAACUAUAAGACGUUUUGGGUUUACUAAAUACAUAGCUUUUGCUAUGCACUUAGAUAUACACUAUGUCUAGAUACAUAGUAAAAUCAAUAUAUCUAGAAAAACAAAAACAUCUUAUAAUUUGGAAUGGAGGGAAUACCUUUUUUUUGGCUAUCAAUUCUCCCCUACCCAUGCUUUAGAUGACAAUUCAUUAAAUCUUAAAUUGUUGUUAAUGUUUUGCUUUGAUCUAUUAUUUUUUUUAGGGUAUGGAUUCUAUGUUCAAGGCAUUGUUAACCCCAUGGAUGUACUGAAAAUAUUUGUCAAGCAGCGUAACCCAGAUAUAGCUAUAAGGUGGUCAUACUUAUCACAUCUUUAUUUAACAUGUCUUGAAUUCUAUCAACUAAAUAUAUGACGAUUACUUCAAGGAUGUUAGUGUUAGCAUGGCAUGUUUCUUGCUGGAGAUUUAAGCUUUAUGCACUACGUGGAUUUCAACCUUGGAUCAUACUCUUGGGAUUUGACGAUUUGUUAAAAUUUCAUACUCUUUCCAUUAAUCUUGAUACCUGCAAUGCAUUGUUUUUUUGACAUGUAGGUAUGCACGCAUAUUUCCUAAUUCCCAACUUUUACUCUGCAAUACCAUGGAAGCUUUUGGAAAAAGAAAGGAGUUGAAAAAUGCUUUAUUGGUCUUUGGAGCCCUUAAGGACCAGCUUGGAGGCAUCAAUAUGUUUGCAUGCCGAAGUAUAAUAGAUAUAUGUGGCCAUUGUGGCUCUUCUGUACAGGCUCGUAUUAUAUUUGAGGUACUCGAUAUCCCUCAUUGACUACAGUUAAUUUAAUUGUUAGCUGAGUUUGCUUCUUUACAUUUGUAGAUAUAUUCAUUGAAUUUCUAUUGAAUUAGAAAUAGGUUAAGUUUAGAGAGUUUUGUAUAUUUAAAGUUAAUAAGGUGUCUCUAAAAGGGAUAACUUAGUCAUUGCCAAUUAUGAAAAUCAAAUUAAAUCCCUUAUUCGUUAAAGUUCUCCCUCUCUCUCUCUCUCUCUCUCUCUCUCUCUCUCUCUCUCUGUAAGAGGAAAGAGGAAUACACAAAUUUUAUCCAACUAAGCUACCUUCUGUUCACCUGCUGUAGACAGGUACUCUAAUACUCAGGCGGUUCCAGACUUCACUCAUAUAUUAUACAUGUGAAUCAUAUGCAGGGGCUGCUUGCUGAUAAGAUUACUCCAAAUACCUACGUCUUCAACAGCCUAAUGAAUGUUAAUGCCUAUAGCUUGAGCUACAACUUUUCAGUCUACAAGCAUAUGCAAGUAAUGCAUCUUCUACCUUAUUGUUGCUGUUCAUAGGUAGGUUGUUUUAGCUUCAUGCAAAUCGAUUCUGUUGCAUCACAUUUUGCCUUUUUUGUGCCAGCCUAUUGGAACUAGUUCUUCUAAUUUGCUAUGUUCUGCCCAAUUUCUGUUUGCUAUUCCAUGCUUGUUCAUGUUAUUUUUAAUUGUAUUCACUAAAACAAUAUUUACACUGUGUGUUUGGUUGUUUCUUUGAUUUACUUUUCCUUCAUUCAUGGCCGAAUAUGUUCUAUAAUCUUAUGCACAGCACAGGUGCACAGUGACCAUAAGCUACUGUUUACACCAUUUUGUGUUUUUGCAGAAUCUCAGUGUCCCUCCUGAUUUGACUUCAUAUAAUAUUCUUCUGAAGACAUGCUGCAAUGCCAGAGAAUUCAACUUGGCUCAAGAAAUCUAUGAAGAAAUGAAGAAGAAGGAACGUAAUGGCCUUUUAAAGCUAGAUGUUUUCACAUAUAGUACAAUGAUCAAGGUAUGGGGGCUCUUGUUGUUGUUGUCCAUGCAUUAUGGCUUUUUAUGGUUUCCAGAAUUGUUUUCUCUUUAAAUUCCAGGUGUUUGCAGAUGCAAAAGUGUGGAAGAUGGCUUCCAACAUCAAAGAGGAUAUGCAAGUGAAUGGGAUUCGUCUUAACCUAGUAACAUGGUCAUCAUUAAUCAACGUUUAUGCAAAUUCUGGUCUGGUUGAUCGUGCAAUAGAGAUCCUUGAAGAAAUGAUAAGGGAUGGCUGCCAACCUACAGCCCCAUGCUUCAAUAUUAUCCUUACUGCUUGUGUCAAGUCAUGCCAAUACGAUAGAGCUUUCCGCUUGUUCUACAGUUGGAAGGAGUCUGGUAUCAAGAUAUCUCUAUCCCCUGAACAGAAGAGAGGUCUUGAUGGUGGCUUUACAUUCUGUAAAGAGUAUCCUAGUAGUGGCAGUACUAUAUUGGUGGUUCCAUUCAGGCCAACAGUCACAACCUAUAACAUCUUGAUGAAGGCUUGUGGUACUAAUGCAGAACGUGCAAAGUCUGUAAUGAACGAAAUGAGGCGGAAUGGCCUUUGUCCCGAUCUUAUUAGCUGGUCUAUACUCAUGGAUAUUUAUGGAACUUCUCAAAAUAGGGAUGGAGCUGUUCAGGUUUCACGCUUCAAAGUUUUAUGUAGAUAUCUUUUGCACAAUAUAAUCUGCUAUGACAUUUGGCCUUAUAUCAACUUUUGUGUCAACUAAAUAUGCCUUCCUUGUUUGCAUCCUGUUGAAGUAUUCCACUUUAUAAAACUUGAUAUACCUCUUGUGGACAUAGACACAAAGAACCAAUAGAUUAAAUAGACGACGGAAUAAGAUACUGAAUUAUUUUAUGAAUCCACUUAGCCUGUGGAAUUCUGGCUGCGAAUGAUCCUUAAUUUGCAUUCCAUGGUAAUUCACUUUCUCAGUAUCACAGUUGCAGAAGAUGUUCCUAUCUACUAUAUCGCAUGCCUUUCCAUUUUUCAGUACUGCCCUUAUACUGUUGACAAUGUUCAUGUGAUUUUUUUCAUCUGGAUAAACAUAAGAUGACACUUACUUAUUUCUUAAUGCGGAUUGCUAUGGUUUUAGAUUUUCCCAAAUAAAUAGUAAAUUAAUUAUUGCUAUCAUUUUCUUUUUGACAUAGGCACUAAGGAGAAUGCAGCGAGUUGGGAUGAGACUUAAUGUCUCUGCAUAUACUGUUGCUAUUAAGGUUGGUCACUGGACAGCACCUUUUACUUGGUUAAUGGGCACUUCUUUUUAUUUAUAGACUUAUGGUCUGCUAGUAAGCUUUUGCUACAAUGUCCUCCAGGCAUGUGUUGAAAACAAAGAUUUGAAGUUAGCACUGCACUUGUUUGAAGAAAUGAAAACACACCAACUGAAGCCCAAUUUGGUGAGUUUUAUCUAAAAUUUAGGUACAACGCUUUGAUGCUUUGCUUUUCCUUAACUAUAAGAUUUGAUGCUUCCUGAUGUAGCAUUUAUUGUUUGGUGCCUAUUGCUGACUGCUAAAUGCUUUGGAUGCAUGCAUAAUUUAUUGAUAUCAAGUUAUUUGGGUUGAUUAGUUGGAUAUCCUCUGCUGCUUGUUGAUGUUAGACAUUAUGAUAUGACACAUGCCAUAGUCAAUGGUUUGCUCUACAUCAACCUGCAAAAAUUCCAUCGAUGUAAAUUGCAUUUGACAUAGCAGUUCAUUUUCAGGUGACGUACAAAACUCUCCUGGCAGCACGCAGCAAUUAUGGAUCACUACUGGAGGUCCAGCAGUGUUUAGCAAUAUAUCAGGAAAUGAGGAAAGCAGGGUAUGUGACUAGAAUGAUAAUAUGCUGUUUCUUUGAUACUUUUGAAGUCAGUACAAGUGCUUUUUCCUCGACAGCUCUACUCUUUCGCAUUUUGACAGUAAUCUGUGAUUGCAUUAAAUAAAGAACAAAGGUUUAUUUGAUAUAAACGCUCCAGUGUAAAAUUCAUGGAACACACCAUAAAUAAUGGAAAACUAGAAGUGCUCCAAGAUACAGUUAUUUUGACAACAAACAGGUACCAGCAGAGGAUGUAAUCCACAGAAGCUUCAGUUGUUAUCUCAUGCCUAGGUGUCUACUGCUUCUAAUUCCACUAUUCCACUGUAGGAAACAUACUGACAGCCUAAUUUCCCAUUCUAGGUACCAGGCAAAUGACUAUUAUCUCAAGGAAUUAAUAAUGGAAUGGUGUGAAGGAGUUCUGUCUAGUCGCGGUGAUAAUCAAGAUUUUUACAAUUUGGACCUACAACCUAAGAGGAAAGAAUCGUUCAACCUGUUUCUUGAGAAAGUCGUAACAGUCUUGCAAAAAGAUACUGAUCAGAACCAAACUGUCGAUGUCCGUGGCCUUUCAAAGGUAAAUGACAUCCAACCAGUUCAAGUCAUGAUAUACAAAUGAUCUGCCACACGAACAUGAUGACUGAUUUUGAAUGAUGUGUGAUUUACAGACACCCCCCCCCCCCCCCCCCCCUUUUUUUUUGUUGCUUACCAUAAUCCCAUGCAUUCUGCAGGUUGAAGCUCGAAUUGUUGUUCUCUCUGUUCUUCGGAAGAUCAAAGAGCAAUACCUCCUGGGUAAUGUUGAGCUGUCACUUCCUUUUGUAUUACAAUAAAAACCAUAGAUGCUAAGCCUCUAUUUUGAUGCCCCAAUGCCUUUCGAAACAUUGAUCAGGAAGAGUGGUCCAGGACGAUGUGGUUAUCAUCACAGGUCAUGAGAAGACAUCAAGAACUGAAGCUGAAACUAAUGCAGUUGACGUCGUGCAGGCAAUAGUUACUGUUUUGACGACUGAUCUGGGUCUUGAAGUUUUGAUUGGACCUGGAAGCUGCCCUCCUGUUUCAUCAAAACCCAAAGCAACGACUAAAUCUAGAAGUAAUUUAGAGCAAGUAUCCAAAGAAUUUACUAGGAGACCACAGGGAAUGAUAAAAAUCCCUCUCAACUCACUGAACCAUUGGUUGAAGAAGAAAGCUGUGAGGAUUGCAGAGUGACAUUUCCUUAAACUACCUUUUUGGUCCAUUUAGUAUACCAGUAAAUUAGCACAGUUAUUCCAGGAUUGGAUGUACAUAUGAAAACAGGUUACUGCUCCUGGUCAUGACACGACUUGAAAAAGGGAAUCGUUGGCAGGCAAUGGAGUCUCGACUAUUGUCCAGCACAUUCAGCAAGGGACUUCUGCAAAUUUAAUUGUAGUGUUUCUAAAGACACGAAGCUUGGACUUUCAUACUGUUAUAUAUCAAUUUCCAGUAAUCUCAUUCAAACCAGGUUAUCCCAUUUCCAUGUCAACAUGGAAGUAAUGAGCCCUACAGAAAUAGGAAACGAAACAACCGAAGUUCGACGAGAUAGGAGGCCCAACUGAUCUAAAUCACCUGUGUUAUGUAUCAAAUUCCAGUACAUAUCAUGUUUUCCAUGAAACAGUUCUCCAGCAGAAAUAAAAAUACCACAACAGCUGGUGUUCAAAUAUACAUGUGAUUAACUAGAUAACAAAGUCUUCACUCAUGCCAAUUUGGUUCUUGAAAAUACUGAGCGGGGGGCAUGAUCUUGGCUAACGAAAUUACUGAUAUCUGCAUGUACAAACACAAUAUCAGGUAUAACAACAGUCUUGGUUAACUCAUACUACAUAUGGCUGAACAAUCUGGAUCUCUAUCUUGCUAAUUUACUCAUGGGGAAGGGUGUGUGCUUGGUGAAAUGCACGUUCAAGACCGUAUCAAGCUCACUCAUCCAUUUCAAUUACUGCCCAGCAAUGGACAAAUAAACGCGGACAAGACCAAAGAUCUCGUACCUAGCAUCGGAGAGUUCUCAAAUCCAAUCCUGCUCCUGCAACUUGAGAGGCAGGUAGACCUCGGUGAGGUACUGGAACCCGAAGGAACUGAGGGCCUGUAUCUCAGCCUUUUGCUUGGUGCGCAGCAUCAUCUCCAACUCCUUCACCCAGCCCUCAUUCUGCUUCACAAAGUCUUCCUCGAGCAGCUCUUUCCCCACCUUGAUAUCGUGAUCGGUCAUGGGGAGACGGCACUGCUCCGGCACCCUGUACUUGUCCAGGUCGCUCGGCCGGACACCGAGCCACUUGAUGUCCGGCGUCGUGAGAUUGGCGCUGUCAUACGACAUGUUCUUCGAACCACACAUGUACACUGACAAGAUCUUGAGCCCGUAUGGAUCGGAGUCCACCAGCGCGAGCACUGGCAGCUUCAGCUCCACCUUGAGCCGCCGCAGGAACAGCCGGGUGGCGACAUCUGGCUGCCCCUUGGCCGUCAGAAUGAUGCAGGGGAAGCGGUUGUAGAACCUGUCCUCGGCAAGUCGCAUGAAUGCAGCGUCCUUCUCCACCAGGAGGAUGAAGAGCGCGUCGCUCUCGAUGCCCGAGACCCUGUCGACGUUGGGCGGUAUGGCCUUCCCGCCGACGCCCAUGCGCGUGCAGUCGAUCCGGUCCCCAUCGUCGGCGAAGACGAGGCGGCCCACGACGACGCCCUUCUCGGAGGCGACGACGUGGAGCGACGACCGGGUGCAUCCGAGCAUGCAGGAGACGUCGUCGAGGACGGCGUCAGACUGGGACUGGUCGCCGAAGAGCUUGACGUCGGUGUAGAAGAGGUCACGCUUGGUGACGUGGAUGCCCCUGCCGAGGACGGCGUGGACGAGGGAGAGGACGCGCGCCGUGAUGGUGGCCUUGCGCGCGGUGGCGACGUUGGCGAAGGGGCGCGCGGACUCGCGGCGGACGAGCACGAUGCGGUCGAGGUCCGGGAGGUAGACCUGGUUGGAGGCGGCGCGCGAGGGCACCGCGAAGGAGAAACCCCGGCCGGAGAGGAUGCUGCGCGCGGCUGCGAGGACGAGGCGGUUGAUGCGGGAGGUGACGGAGGCGGAGUCCUGGUCGGCCACCACGAUGUACGAGGAGGCGGGGUCCGCGGACAGGUCGAGGUCCGCGAGGGACUUGGAGGUGGCCUUGGAUUUGGAAGCCGAGGCAGAGGCGAGGGAGCGGAGGGUGGCGAGGAUGGAGGCGUCGGGGCGGAGCUUCGAGCGGAGGGACUCGGCGUAGGACGCGGCCGCGGAAGCGCGCGGCUUCUUGGAGCUGGAUGCGGCGCCGACCGCGCUCGCCCCGGCGCGGCGCUUUUUCUCCGACAUGGGGAGGGGCGAGAGGUGGGAGAGCGCGGUGGCGACGGCGGCGGGGCUUGAGCUCGAUCUCGAGCGCGGCUGCGAUUUGGUUUGUGGCUGGGGAGUGGGACUGUGGGAGGACCCGGAGGAGGGACCUGUCGGGCGCCGCGUCUCGGCUGGGCUAGUGGCCUAGUGGGCCGAAGAGCUUCUGGCCUCUGGGGGCCUUUCCAGUUUGCUCACAGGCUCGCGGGAUUUUUAACUUUUUUUUUCCCAUUGGCACUCCUCCGUUUGCCAACUUUAUGUGUGCUUCUACAUAUUUACCACCGCAUUCAGUUGAGCUGCUACGCUUUUACCACUCUCGCUGAUGUGGUAUGUCAGGUGGUGCUUCUAGCGUCGAACGGAGCCUGGGAGCCCUGUUUUGGCAUGACAAAUGACGCCGCUGCCCUCACCCUCUUCUUUUGUUGCGAGGCUGCCCUUUUCUUCCAGCGUUAGUCCUCAUGAAAAAGAGAAGGAGGAUUUCAAGAGCCUCGUCCCGCCGGGACGCUCCGAAGAGACGCCUCAGGAGCAGCGCCGACACCUGGCUCUUGAUGGCGCUGUCCAGGUUGGGGGACAUGGCUUCCUCCUCUUCUUGGUGCGCGCUCCGUGCGGGGUGGACAACGCCGUCAGGGAGGCUUUGUUUGGAUAGGCUUGGAUCGGCGUGGAUUGGUAUGGAUCCCGGUCUCGGAUGGAAACCAGCCCACACCGGAGUUUCAGCCCACGUGGAUGCAGAAUUGCGGAUUUGGCUGACGCCGGGUUGGAGCCAAACCCGCUCGAACCACGUCAAUCCAAGGGAGAAAGAAAUAUCCUCACCCGAGGCCGGGACUUUGCUCCCUCCUCGCGACUCUGCCAGCGCUCCCGCAGCACGCGACUCCGCCACCGCUCCCGACUCGCCGGCGAGGGCAACACCACCGCUCGCACUUGAAAAAGGUAUGUUCUCCGCCGCCUCCAAUUCUCGGUGGACUCAUCCCCUCCUCCCUCCCCUUCUACUCAGCCGGUUUCCCUUGUUAGGGUUUCAGUACACCGCGGCGGCCGACGAGCCGGCUCCCUUCUCCCCCUGUCGGCAACCGAGACCGGCGGUGGCCGGUGGAUCAGGUGCGCCUCCACCAGCCCACGUCCCCCAUCUCCUCCUUCCAAUCCCUUUCCCUUUUCCUCAUCUCUUUUCUUACUAGGGUUGGAGUCAGAUCGAGACGGCGGCAAGAUCCUGGGGUCUCCAAGAUCGUGAGGUGCUACCACGUCCCCCAUCUCCUCCUUCUAAUCCCUUCCUCUGUUCCCUGCUCUGGUAAUUGGUAUACGUCUGCUGCGGGUGCCUUGCGAGUAGUAUGGUUGGAUGAUAAUAUGUUGUUUUGCUGCUGGUUACCUCAAAAGUUGUCCCCUACAAUUGUUUGGAUUUUUGGUUUUGUGGGACGGAGUAAUUUUUGGGUUGAAAUUUGACGCCAAUUUCACUUCUUCCCAAUUGAAAAUAGUGAAAGACCCAUCUGUACUUCCAGUUUAGUUGCUAUGUUGUUGGCUCUCUUUGUUGGUUACUGCAGCAAUUGAUGGUAAUAGACGUUCAACUUUCUAGUCUGUAUUAUGAUUCAAUUGAGUUAACACUACCGUGGAUGAUGCAAUUGAUUCAUGACCUCCUGGUCCUGUCUAGUGUCUAGGUAAGCUGACAGUUGUGCCUUCCUGAUAGUUUGGACAUUUGUUUUGUGCUAGUAGUUUCACCGUGCUAUACUUAUUCUUUGCUUGGAUAUGCAUCUGUGCCUAUCUGAGUAGAAAGGAGGGCCUCCCUCUUGCCCCAUAUUUGGCAGUUUGGGCCUUUUUCUGUUGAACUUUCAGAUGUGUCCUGUGCAGUGCUUUCACAUGCUUAGCACUGAAGAAUUCAUUUUUGAGUGGAACCCAUUUAUCUCUCUGAUUUUAAAGUUAGCAUAUCGUUUCUGUAGAAGGUACAAUCUAUUUGAGAACAUUUUAGUUUUUAGAUUCGCAGAUGAAAAUAAAUAUCUAUUUGAGAGGAAGCAAUGUUUUGAUGUCUUAGAAAAUUUUUGUCAAUUACACUGAAUGAAACCUAAUGCACUUGGGAAAAAUAAUGGGUUUCACUUAUGGAAAAUAAUGCUCGAGGUUAUCUUUUAUCCAUCUUAAAAUUUCAGAUGUGUGAUAACUUGUUUCUAUUCAUGUGUUUUGGUAGAUUAUCGGUAGCUUCUCCUUUCUCCUUUUUUUGUGAUGCCUUCUUUCAGAAUCAUAGAUUCAGUUUCCUUCUUGUGUGAUGCCUUCUAAUGAACUACAUGGUUUCAUCAUUGUAUUAGUUAUGGAUGCUCUAGCUAAGAAAAGAAGGGAUGAUGAUGAUGAUGAGAUUAUGCUUUUCCUUCUACCUGCUUUGUAUCUAUUGGGUAGUACAAGGGAGCCCCGACAAAAAAUACCUAGGCAUACAUCAAGGUUGUCCGGAAAGGAGCGUCUUGAAGAAGUACUCAAUGGACAUGUGAAAGAUUGUUGUGUUGCCUUUCGUAUGGAGCCUAACAUCUUCAGAGCCAUUGCAACCUAUCUUAGAGAUGAGCAUUUGUUACGGGACACUAGGGGUAUUAGAGUCGAGGAGCAGUUUGCGUUCUUCAUGUAUAUGCUGUCUCACAAUGCAAGCUAUGAGGAUAUGCAGUAUCAAUUCAAACAUAGUGGAGAAACCAUCCAUCGGCACAUUAAGUCAAUCUUCAACAUAAUCCAAAAUCUUACUUGUAAGUUUGUGAAACCUAUAGUGGCAACUGAAACUCAUUGGAAAAUCAGCACAGACCCUAGGUUCUUCCCUUACUUUAAGGUGAAUCAAUUAUGACUCUCUACUUAGCCAUAUACACCUCUUUUCCUUACUUAUAUAUAUAGCUAACAUACACACUUCACUCUUUCAGAAUUGCCUCGGUGCCAUUGAUGGGACCCAUAUUCCUAUUACCAUCUCUCAAGACAAGCAAGCUCCAUAUAGGAAUAGAAAGGGCACACUUAGCCAAAAUAUCAUGUUGGCUUGUGAUUUCGAUUUGAACUUCACCUUCAUCUCAUCAGGUUGGGAAGGGUCUGCAACUGAUGCAAGGGUCCUUAGGUCUGCUUUGCUUCAUGGUUUUCGUGUACCUGAGGGCAAAUUUUUCCUCGUCGAUGGUGGCUAUGCUAACACUCCAUCAUUCAUUGCUCCUUAUCGUGGUGUAAGGUACCACUUGAAGGAGUUUGGGCAUGGUCACCAACGACCAAGAAAUUACAAGGAACUGUUUAAUCAUCGUCAUGCUGUUUUGAGGAAUCAUAUAGAGAGAGCAAUUGGAGUUCUAAAGAAGCGUUUUCCUAUUUUAAAAGUAGGAACCUUACAUCCUAUCAAGAACCAAGUGAAGAUACCAGCUGCUGCUGUGGUGUUCCAUAAUCUUAUCCGUAUGCACAAUGGAGAUGAAGGGUGGUUGACGAACCAGCCGGAUAACAUCCUUCCUAGUAGUUUUAUCGAUGUCCCUGAAGGGGACAAUACAUACAAUAAUGAUGUGCCAUCAUUUAGUAGCCAAAUAGAAAAUGGAAAUUCCCAAAGAGAUGCAAUUGCAUUGAGUAUGUGGGCAGAUUAUACCCACAACCACUCAUGAUGCGUAUGUAAUUUUAUUUCAGCCCUAUGUAAGAGUUUCCCAUGUGUAAUACUGGAUGCUUGUUUCAGUCAUUUGUAUGGAUGAUUAUGUAAUGGUUUAUUUGUCCACCUAUUUAAUUUUCAUCUUGACUAUAAGCUGUUGUUGUUGUGAUGCCAUCUGCUUAUGUAAUGGUCUAUAUACUCUCACUCAACUAAAGCAGGAAUCAAAGCUAUGCUUGGAAGGGGCUCUCCUAAGUUGCAUCUAAUGCAAGCUGCAUCUUUAAAGAAGAAGAGACCAUCACCUAAAGCAAGUGGAAAAGGUAAUUAGCCAUAUAGUUUAGUUGAGAUUGUUGCACUGUCUUGCAUGCACCUUUUGUAAUAUCUUCAUGUAAAGUGAUGACCUUGUACAUGUGCAGUGGACCGCUCAAGAGCGCAUUGGAAUUUAGGACUUGAAAAAGCAUUGGUUGAGUUGCUCCAUGACUACAACAAUGAUUGCUAUAGGGGGCAAAAUGGAUGGUCUACAGAUGCAUGGAAUAGAAUAGUGAAAUCUUUCCAUCAGAACUUCAAGCAUGUCUCAUUUUCCAGGCAACAGAUUCAGGACAAGGAGAAGGAACUUAAGAGGGAAUAUCGGAUGCUCAAAGAAGCGAGGCAGCAAAGUGGGGCAUCAUGGGAUGAUAAGCUGUGCAUGAUUGUGGCUGAUCCACCUGUCUGGGCAAACAUCAUCACAGUAAUUUCUAAAAAUACUUUUCUGUUACCUCCAAAUUAUGUUACUGCUGCUGUUAUUUUGCCACUUAUAUCUCUAAAAUAUGUUGAAUUUCAAUUUUAACAGUCACAUCCAAAGGCUGCCAAGUUCCAGUCCAAGCCUUUUCCUCUAUUUGAGAGAUUAGGAGAGUUAUAUGAUGGCCACACAGCUGAGGGAUCUUUGAACAUGACAUCUCUUGCUGACCCAACACCAUCUGAGCCAAGUAUCACACAAAUGAGUGGUGGUGACGGAUUACAAGCUGAAGAAUUUGAAUCCCCACUGGUGCCUCUUCAUGAUGAGGAUGAUGUGAUGAUAUUAGACCAGCCCAGUAGACCUACUGCAACAAGAAAAGCAAAUGCUCCUGCUGUCCCUAAUGGAGGAAAUAAGGUUCAGAAAAGGCAGAUGGAAGCUGCUAUCUCUCAUGGAGGAAAGAGGGUUCAGAAAAGGCAGAAGGAAGCUGAAGUAGCUCACAUGAUGGAGAAGUAUCUGGAAGUAAAAACUAAGCAAGUUGAAGGUGAGGUUGCAGAGAAAUCAAGGGCAGGAUCAGGAGCGGAUGAGUACUCCAUCAAGCAAUGCAUUAGUGUCAUCAGCACCAUGGUAGAACUCACCGGCGAAGAAAAGGCUGAAGCCUUUGAUAUUUUCAAAGAUGCUCAGAACCGGGAAAUCUUCAUGAAUGCAGAUUCACCAACACGUCUGAUUUGGAUAAGGAAGAAAUGGUUAGUUUUUUAGUUGUCUUUGAGUUUGCUGACAUCUUUUAAUUACUUUGAAGAACUCACUAGAAAACUUUUGCUUUGAACCAGUAUGCAGACAUGAGGGAAACAAUAUUGAGUUUUGAGUGAGAGGUUAGUCUUUGUUUUUAUCCAGUAAGAGCUUAGACAGUUAAGACAUUAUUUUUAUGAAUUAUUGUGAGAUGUUUAACCACUGAAUUUCUAAGCUAUCCAAAUCCAAAUAGUUCAUAUAUUGUUGAUAGCAGUAGGUUGAGAUGUCUCCUACCUUGCAAGCUGCUGCACUGAAUAUAUUAUUGAUAGUUCCCCUAUCCUUCAUCUGUUUUGUAGUAGUUCAAAGUUUAGACCAAUUCUUGUAGAGUUUCAUGGCAAGAUUGCCCCGGCCAUUGCAUUUGUUUUGUAGUAGUUCAUCUCAGUGGCAGUAGAUGAUUACUAUUUCACCUACUAGCUAAUUUCAGUCUCUAAUGAAAUUGAAGAAACAGUACUACUGCAGAUUAGGCCUAAACUUGUCCUUUUAUAUCAUUAAAACUUUAACUAUGUUGUAUCACUAAAAUAUGCUCUCUCCAUUUUUAAUGUAAUCGGAUACUAUAGAUUUUUCUUAUGGUCAUGGAAAUAUGGCACUGACCUGGAAGCUAUUUUGUGUUUACUGUACACAAUUAUUGCUGAUUUGUUUGCUGCUUUGAGGUGUUUGCAGUGUUGAACUAGCCGUGCAGUAUAUAAUAGUCCAACAGAGUGAUUCAGAAAUUUUGUUCUUUGAGUUCUCUACUUGUUGCUCAUCUCCCUGGAGUCUUACAAAAAAACUUGGAAUUUUUCUUUCAGAGUAGUUUUCAGACUUUGCACAGUAUAUAAUAGUCACUGAUACAAGUGUACUUGACUUAAGCGCUGCCUCUCGUCAGCAAAUCUUUUAGCAAUACAAGUGUACUGACUGACUGUGAAAAACUUUGGAGAAUUGAAUGAUCAUAUAUUGUUUGUUCUUUCAGAGUAGUUUUCAGACUUUGUACAAUAGAGCUUGCUUUCAGUCUUCUGUUUCGUCAGUCUGGCGUUUGGUUCAGAGUUGUAAAAGUAUUCUUGCCUUGUUGCUCACCAAUGUCUAAAAGUAUGAAUACUUUGCUUGCAGGAAUAGAAGUGAAAGUGCACCUUUCGUUUCAAGUGCAAGUCUAAGUGGUUUCAGUUCAACUUCUUUCGGCACCGCUGGGAUGCUAGCAAUAUUUUAUUUAUUUAAGAAUCUUGAAAACAAAUGUCUUGUUUCCUAAAUUUGUGUAUGCAUGUGCAAGCCCUAGUUCAAUAUGCUGAUGGUCACGUCUUCCUUACUUAGCCGUGAGCUACUUCGAAACUUGGUGAAGAAUGUUCUGGUAUAUGACCAUGUGAUGUGAUUACAUUCGACAUAUUUUUUUUAUAAUGUUUCAAUCGUUGCUGCACCUUCCAAUACAUUUAUUUUUUAUUUUUUACUGAUGAAAAAUGGCUUCUCUUGCUCAUUUUCUGUUAUUUUUGAAUUUUAGACAUGGAUUUUGCUAGUAUUUUCUUGAAUUUUAGAGCUCGUUUUCUGAUUUUUGUGCUCUCCCAUGGUUCGGUUCUGAAUUCUAGAACACUACCAUUUUGAAUUAUGGUUAAAUAAUCAGUAAAGUCAACGUUGAAUUAGCUUUGAUGAGCAUUAGUAGUACACGAACACAAUAUAAUAAAACGCCAAACUGAGCUAAUUAGGCGCACAAUCCAAAUGAUGCCAGGGAAUCAAGGGAUUGGGUCACGUUGGUGGGAGGGGAUCAACCCAAUCCCUGCGUGGGGGAUUUCUCUCUUGUAUUACUUUCCCCAGCAGCCAAACGAAGCCGGAGAGGGGAAGGCACACGACGCCUGAAGAAGAGGGCGAGGGCAGCAGCGUCAUUUGCCAUGCCAAAAUAGAGCUUCCAGACUCCGUUCCACGCCGGAAGCACCACCUGUCAUGCCACAUCAGCGAGAAUGGUAAAAGUGUAGUAGCUCAACUGAAUGUGAUGGCAAAUAUGUAGGAACAUACACAAAGCUGGCAAACAGAGGAGUGCCAACCAUAAAAGUACAAAAAGUUAAAAAUCCAAAGCUCUCGGCCGCAGUGAGACAGAACAUCAAGGAGUCUGCUACGUCCUAUAUUCUCGCUUCAGCAGAAGUCAAUUUUUUUUACCAAAUAUAUAUAACUAAAUAUUAAUGUUUAUGACAUAUAACCUUCGUAUAAUUAGAUGAUUCUUUGAAUAUAUAUUUUAUAAUAAACAAAUGAUACUAUUUUUCUAUAAAUCUAGUUAAACUUAAAAAGUUUUUUUUUUUACAUAGAGUAUCGAGAAGAAGUGCUGAGACGAGCUCAAUGUACACUUGAGGGCUUGUUUGGAUGCCAUCCAAUUCACUUCAACCUUGUAACGAAUUUUGAAUUAAAUUACACCUCGAUCCACCCUAAUAUAUAUAGAUUGGUGCCAAUCCGACUAUAUCUAAACAAGUCUUGAAUAGAAAAUCAGCGCGACAUCGAGUAGUAUAGCAGCACAUGCAAGCAGAUAUCCACAAAUUUAUUAAUUUCUAUAUAGAACCAUACAUAUGUACAUGUAGCUUGGCUUUCCCCGCGCGCCGUAUAUAUAUAAGAAAAAAAGGCCCAUACACCCUGAACAGGAUCGCUGAAGAUUGAUGAGGGCUACUUACAACCUGACUUUUACAACAAGAGAUGGAGUGACUGUGUGGGCGUGGGGGCACUAAUUUUCAGGAACAGCAAGCUCUCAACACAUCCUCCAUGUCAGGGUCAUCUCCGGCUUCUUUGUCCUGGUAAAAGAGAUACCAGAAAAGAGAAGUUGCAUUCAGUAUCAUAGUAUGAUUUUCUUUCUUGAGGAGAACAUGAGGGGUUUUCCCCUAUUGAUUAUAUACAUAUAUUAUAUAAAUAGAACAAAUGGAACAAAUUUUUCGUAUGAGAAGCACUGACCUUGUGGAUGUACAAGAUGUUAUCGAUACCCGGACCUGCAACAAUCAGCCCCCCUUGAUACCUAAAGUAGAGAAAUGCAUUAGAUCAAUGCUAGAAAAGACAAUUGCAAAAGCUCUAGCAGCCAACUCAGAAUUACAAGAAAGCAAAAAGGCAAAACCAGAAUGCAAACAUACCAUCCGCCUUUUGUCCUAGUGUUCUUUUCGAAUGACAAUUCCCAGUCCUGCCUGUAUCCUUCCCUGUACAAUUGUAUUAUCUUGAGGCCAGCCUGAGAAAUGAUGGAAAGAACCGUUUAUGUAUGUUGGGGAACAUAGAACACGCAGCAUGCAAAAUUUAGUCCAGUAUAAGAGUUACCGCUGGCGUGAAGGUAGAGAACAACCCAAAUGCAAAUUCAAGAGCAUCAUAUGAUGAGUGAGUUGGGUCUGCAUAUACUUCUGUAAUUAAAAACCAGAAUUGUUAUACAGUGUAUAGAUGUUGAAGUUUUGCAGCAAAAAAUAUUAAUCAGAAUACACAUCACCAAAGAUUUACACACUUAAAUACCUACCAGGAAAUCAAGAGAAAUAGAGAAGAUUUAUUUUUAACAUUUAUGCAAAAAGAAAGAAAGAAAGGAUCCAGCUGUGCUUUUUUACUUAGCUUAUUUAUUAUUGGACAGCUAUAAUGAAACACCCAAAUCAAGGUUCUUAAGACAGCAAGGCGUCAUAUGGUGACCUGGGUAGGCCUCAUUGCCUAGGUGAUGCCUUAACAGCCUUGCCCUAACAAAAAUCAGUACCUGGUUUCUUUUCCAAACAAAAAGUAGGACACACUCUUUAUUUGUUGGAUGUAAAUUUCAGUCCCAGAUCCGCGAUUCCUACUGGUACUACUUCAGGAAUUGAGUACAUACUUGGAUACAGCCACACCAAGUCAUUGUAAAGGAAACAUCACCCACUUGUGUAUCAUGGAUUAUUAUAUAUCAAUGUUCAUGAGACAGGAAGGAACAUAUUUGUUAUCCAAACCUCAUGGAAUAACUUAAUAAUUUCAUAGAUACCACCUUGAUUAUUAUAUUAGGCACAUAAAAUUUAUUUGUAUAUUCUCUUAGCACAUAUUCAUGAUUAUUUAUACUCUCAUUAAAGAAGUGGUGGCCAUAAGGCCUGGAAUAGUUCCUUAAAAAAUAAGGCCUGGAGUAGAGGUUAUUCAAGAAACAGACCUCCUUUGAAUUUGGUUUGCUCACAAAAUGCCUUUGCCUGGAUCAAGAAAAAACAAGAUGCAAUUAAUCACUGACAUGUUAGUUUAUUUACAACAGAAACGGAGUUCUAAGAAAAUAUUUUAAUUACCAACCAAAAUUUUCAUUUAAAGCUGUAGAUCAUCUUCAUGAGUUGUACUUCAAGUAAUAUUCUCAAGGAAGGCAACAUUGAUUUUUACAGAAUUAGCAAACUAAAGUUAACUAGUUUCUGAUCAAAAUAAAGCGCCAUUCAUCACCGCAAUCUCAAUCGUGGUAAAUAAAGAAACAGACACCCUUCCAAGAGCCACUCUAAGCUUUCAAUCUCAUUGGAGAGCCAUCCCAUGAAUAAUCUCUUUAUAAAUCUCUCGUGUCUCCAACACACUUUCUAAAUUUCGUUCUCUGUACUCCAAUGGCCUAUAAUAAUUUUAUUUAUGUGAAAAAAUUCAUGGUAGAACUACCAUAUAUUGAAUUUAGAGAGCAAUAUAAACUCUCCACUAGUGGAGAGCGAGAAGGGUGGUUUUGGAGAGCGGAAAAAUGGAGAGUGGUUUAGAAAGUCUGUUGGAGCACGAUUUUUUGGUUUGUUUCUAUUUUUUUUUUGAUAAAGAGCCAUAUAGAGGGUCUCUUGAAGAUGCUCUAGAAACUGCAUACCAGCUUGCUUAUGAACCGAACAACACAUAUUGCAUGCACAAGAUGGCUAAUCACUUAUCACCCUUGCUGAGCACAUAGAUUUUGCAUUUCACAACUAGCACCAAAUUAAUAAAAUAAUAUAGAAACGAGGUUCUUUUACUGUAGAUGAAAACAUACCUGUUCAACACUGCCUGGUCCAAUUAAAACAAGAGCAACUCCAGCAGCUUGCAUGACAUCCUGCACAUUAGUGGCAAGCCAAGAAAUAAGUUCAGAAUUCAGAUUAUGGAGGGAUCAACAAAGAGAAGCCUGCCUGUUCUAAGGUGGCUUAAUCUUUCCUCUCGUAUAUAUAUGUCACACCCUGUAACCAUUGUGUUAAUUUGCUAAAGUUGUUUCUAGGAAAAACAACAUUACUAAACUAAGAAAAUGAGAAGAUUCACACAUAGCAAAACUGGAAAAGGAAUUCUUAAACCAACUUUGAUUUCAAGUCAUUAUCUGUAUCCUUCCUCCUCGCACCUAAGGCCUGUUUUUGAGAGAUCAAUUUAAUAUCAGGUGGGCAUUAAGGAACUCCCCCACCUUUGACAACAUUAGAAGAUAUAUCAUGCAAAAAAUCGCCCUCUGCCAAACUACCACUAGGCAAGGUACAACUAGAAGGUUUAGAAGGAAAACUUGUUAAAGCACCUUGAUGCAAUAAGCAAAGUGGAAAGUAUUUCAAAUUUUGUUACUGCACACUGGCAACUGGCAAAUUUUGAUACUACAGAAGAACAGCACGAGAAAUCAGCCAUGGAACCUGCUUUGCGGCUAGAAGGUCCGCCCUCUUUCGGCACAACACGCAUCUGCAAACAGGCAGAGGCAUGCAUGCCAACAUAUCAGCCACAACAGUCACUCAUAAAUCAACGAAUAACUCCCAGAUAACGGUGAACCGACCCGAAAUGGCGGGCAAACGCAACCACUGCCUUCCUUUCCUUCCACAGAUCAACGAUGGACACCGCCUUGCCGUUCAGGUCGAACACUUCGACUCCCUGCAGCUUCUGCACGAGCCCCUCCGCCGGCGCGGCCUCCGCGGUGCUCCCUGAAAAUCGCGUCGAACACAGCACGUGACAGAGAGUGAGCGUCGGCGCGCGAGGCUUCUUCAGAGAACCGAACUGACAAUAUCGAAGCGACAGAGGGGAUUGGGGUACCGACCAAUCGCUCCGAACUUGGCGUCAGGGAGGAGGCGGCGGACCGGGUGCGCUGUCCGCUGGUCGAAGAAGAGGCCGCUGACAGCCCCCCUCGCGCGGAGACACUGCGCGGGCUGGCGCGGGGCCACGGUUGCCGCAGCCGGGAGCGGGCCGGCGCUAGCGGCGGCGCGCGCCAUGACGAGCGGUGCGCGCGCGGCCAUGCGGCGGGCACUGGGCUACUCCUGCCUGGUCAGUGGCGGCGAGCCGGCGAGCUCUGGCAGUCCGGGUAGUUACGUGGGAUCUCGGUGGCCAGGAUGCGGUUAUGCGGCUGUCGCCACUUGGUGGGCUCGAGCCUUGGAAGAAGAGUGCGGCUGCGCCUGCGCCUAAGGUGUGGCCCACGCGUCAGCCAGAGUACGCGCGCACCCAGGCACGCCUCGAGGCCGCGGACGGCGCGGAGCCAGACGGACCUCGCAUUCGCUGAGAAGCCGAAGGCCGUAGAGCACACGAGUUGUAGGCUUCCAGAGCACGGCGGGGCAGCAUGAGGGGCUUCCGCUUUGCGCUGGUCCGUGCAGCGCGGUCGCGGUCGCGGGCGGAGCUCCAGACCGUGCAGCGCCGCCCGCCGUCGGAUCUCGCCCAACGUUUUUCGCACUCGGCGUCAGCGCCGGCGAGGCCAUCCUUCGGCAUCGCGUUCGACAUCGAUGGGGUCAUCCUGCGCGGCCGAAGCCCGAUCGGGGGCGCGCCGCGGGCCAUCCGCCGCCUCUAUUCCGAAGAAGGUAACGCCCUUGCGCUUCUCGUGCUCUGCUGCAUUCCAUUGAAGCAGCUUGUAGUUUCAUCAGGAGGACUCAGAGAGUGUCUCGCUCCUGUGUUUGUAACGGCGAAGUGGACUCAGAUGUCUGGCCAUGCCUGCCGGCUGCCGCAUUCGUGUCUUUUGAGCAUUUCGUCGAACGGGUCCAAGUCGUUAGGCAUUGUGUCUUGUGUAUUACACCAUUAUUAAAUGGUUAAAUCGUAUUUGGACCUAAAAUUGAAUAUUUUAGGCUGCAUCAUUUACUCGUUUCUGGAGCGCAAACCUAUGAGAGUAAUUUAUUUUGCCAAUGUUGCUAUUCGUAUUUGCAAAUUUAUGCCUAUAGGUUCUACUAGGGUUAAAGAUUAGGGCACUCCCAAUGCAAAACUAUCAUGGUUUCUAUAGACAUUAAUUAUAGUGCCACCUAAGCAUUUUGCUGAUGUGGCAAUGUAGUUAUUAAAGAGAGAGAACAAAAAUCAUAGAAAGUUAGAAACCAUGUCUACACGAAAUCCAAGGCAUAAAGUGAUAUUAUUGGCUGAGAAUGGAGAGAGAAUGAAUCUAAUUGGAUAAACAAAUAUUCCAUAGAAACUAUCGAUUGGGACUAUAGUUUCUAUGUAUAGUGUCUAUAAAAAUUAAUAGAUAUAGAAACUAUGUGUAGUUUCUAGCAUUGGGAGUGCCCUUAUGGAUCACAUUAUUUGUUCCUUUUCAGGUAGCCUGAAGAUUCCGUUUCUGUUUUUAACUAACGGUAAGUAAUCCACUAUACCAUUUGCACACCCUGUUUUCCUAUCAUUGUUGCAUACUAGCUCCCUGUUUUUGGGAUAUUUCUAAAAAGUUCCUACUAUACAUCAAGCAAUGCAUUCGAUGAAACCUGUUCUUCGAUAGACAUUGUUCUUAACUAUACUGCCAAAUUCUAUGGCAUUUACUAGUGGUGCAUUUGAUUAUUUGACUAAUAUUGAAUUAUCUUCAUUCAACGCAAUCUGUUCUUUGAAUUACUAUCUAAGAGGCAAUCUUGUUCUGGAAAGGUUGAUUGUCAACUUCUUAAUGCUGUAGAUAAUUGUUGUAUGAACAGUGAACAGUCCAUCCUAUUAUAAGUUUUUGUUAUAGCUUUUACAUGGCCAUCAGUAAUCACAGCUAAGGGUUGUACAAAGGCACCAUGGCAUGGAGUGUGGAAUUUUUAAUUGUGUUGCUGAUUUUUUUAUUGAGGUUAUUAAGGUUUACCAAUUUGUUGGUAGGAGGAGGUGUUCCAGAGCAUAGAAGGGCCCUUGAGCUAAGCCAACUUUUAGGAGUCAACAUUUCUCCAGCACAGGUACUUCUACAGUACUCAUGAGUCAUUGCUUAAUGGGACCUUCAAGCUAACUAAUAAAUCCCUAUAGAAAGGAGAGAAAAUUAGUGCAUCUCUUUUCUUUAUCUUCUCAACCAUUGGCUAUGUUAAAUUUCCAUCUAUGAUUUUUUCUGAUGCGUGUAGGUUGUGCAUGGCCAUUCUCCUUACAGAGAGCUGGUGAAGCGGUGUGCCUUUCAAGUACUACAUCAAUGCUUUCUUGUUUCUUGAUUGACUUGUAGCACCUGAAUGGAACCCCUAUUUGAACUCUGCAGUUUCAAAGAUGACCUUAUUGUUGCUGUUGGAAAAGGAGAGCCUGCAGUAGUGAUGUCUGAGUACGGAUUUAGGUAAUUCUUCAUGUUCCUAUCAUGGGUCAAAUUUAUUGUGUGAAUUUCUCACGAGUCAUCUGUGUCUACAGAAAAGUUCUGUCCAUAGAUGAAUAUGCAUCAUAUUAUAAAGAUAUUGACCCCCUGGCUCCUUUCAAGACUUGGAAAGUUGGGCAAACAGACAGUUACAUGUUUGCGAAAGUGCACCCAUCAUAUGAUGUUUACUCAGAGCGAGUUAAAGGAGUGUUUGUUGUCAGCGAUCCUGUUGACUGGGGAAGAGAUCUACAGGUACUAAUAGAAAACCUUCUUGUGCUGCAUUUGUUUCAUUUUCACAUAAUAUCUUAUUGAGUGAUCCAUAAACAUCUUUUCCUCUAAGAGCAUCUGUUCACAUGAAAUUGUGAUUACUUCCUUUUCAGAUUGGCUACAUAAGUUCAAUAAUCUGUUUUUUUUUUAUAUUCCAUAUGAAAGGUACUCUGUGACAUCUUGUCUACUGGUGGACUUCCUGGGACUGAAAAAGGGGAUCAACCUCCUUUGUAUUUUGCAGCUGAUGAUCUUGAAUACCAGGUAAGAUGAUAGGUCAAGAAUGGUGCUACACUGUGAACACCCUACAGGCCACAAUUUCCCUUAUUUCCAUCCAGGUUCAAUGCUAGUAAGAUAACCAUUGCACUGGAAGAAACUUAGUUUUGAGAUCCUAUGGCAGGCUGCAUUUCCUUCUGAGCGGCUUGGCAUGGGUGCCUUCAGGAUAGCUUUGGAAAGCAUCUUCAAUCAGUAAGCUAUUUUUAUAUUUAUGAGACAUUGUACUUCAAAUUUAUAAGCAUGGAUGUGCGGCCAGAUUAAUCAUUUUCUGCUCACUUAAAUUGCAGAAUAAAUGAUCAUCCACUGAAGUAUACAUCUUAUGGGAAACCUAAUCCAUUUGUGUUCAAGAAUGCAGCAAACAUACUUGGAAAACUUAUUAUAAGUAUGUAUCCUAAUUCACAGACAUCAAUGGAAGUAAAAGACUGUCAGUUUUCAACUAUCUACAUGGUUGGCGAUAAUCCUAAAGUGGAUAUCAAUGGAGCUAUGAAGGUUAUUCUUUGAUACAUUUUAUCAUUUAUAUAAAAGAAUAUUCACUGCAUGGAGUGGUUGAUGGUACAAGGAUGCUGUACAGGUUUCAAUAUCUGUUUCCUUGAUGAGAUCAACACUGCCUAUCACUACAAUAUAUAUGUUUGCAGAGUUGAACAGCUAGCUUGUAGUCCAGCAAAAAAACAGGCUACCUGAUGCAUUGGAAAACAGCAUUACCCUAUUGAAUAACAUACCAUCCACUUUCAACAUUUUUCUUUUUCUAUGUUGCUCUUCUAUUACAUUUAAUUGAGGCCAUUGCUUCCUAUCAAGAGAUAUUUAACCUGUGUAAUUUGAACUUCCCAGGCUGGCCACCCAUGGUCAUCUGUUCUUACAAGGACAGGUGUUUUUAGAGGAAAAGAUAACGACCCACAGUUUCCUGCAGAUGCGGUAUAUCUUAUGACCAAAAACUUCCGUUCCACCCUGUGACUGUUAAGUUAUCUGGUAACACAUGUUUGGCAAGAAAAUAUAUGUAUAUGUUACAGAUGUUUGAGUCUUAAAUUAAGAAUAACCAUGAGCUACUUGCCCAUCUUAUAAUGAACCUCAUUGUCUCAGUGCUAUUAGCCUUGUUAGCGUUCUCAGUAGUAGAGCAGCUCACACAGUUAGAGAGUUUGAUCUGCAUGGGGUCAAAUCUCGACUCUCGAGUAAUGAGUAAUGACCUGAAAAAAGUGCACGAUGUCGUGUUAUAACUUAUAUUGCGAGUCCUUUCACACCACAACGCCAGAAAAUAUAUGAAUUUAAUGUUAAAAAAAAGAAAAUAUAUGAACUAACCUGGUUCAGCUGGGUGAUUGGUGUGGGCUUACAAUUUGGGUAUCUUUCUUUUUCUUAUAAGAAAACAAUAACCUAGUUCAUUUUUUGUUAACAUAAUAUGUUAUAUUCAUGUUUCACUGGCAGCUAAUUUUUUUAAUUUGUUAUUUAUGUUCCUUGGAUUGUGAUUCUCGUGGAUGUUCUCAUAGCAGGUUUCCUGCUUAACUGAAAUUUGUUGACUCAACACUAUCGAUCUGUUGUGAUAAAAUAUCUAGGAUGAAAACAGAAACAUUGGUUAUCCUGGAUUUAUCAUCAUAAUUGGCUUGCUGUUCUGAUAAAAGUUGUGUUUGCCUUUCAGGUUGUUGAUACUGUUGAAGAUGCCAUCAACUAUAUUCUGGAGAAGGAAUGUGUACAGUGAUGAUACUGUUGAAGAUGCCAUUAACUAUAUGCUCCCUUGAUCAUUGUCAUUUGGCAUGCUUGAUAAGAUAAGAUGUACAGCCCUUUUUUUUUGUCUAGUAAAUUUAUAAUCCGUGGCUGGAAGUCGAUCUCUUAUUUCUUAUUUAUUCUACCAACAAAUACAUGUUAGAGACAGCAGACUAUAUUUUCUUGCACUUUUUUUUGGGUGCUGAAGAGGCUAAAUUUGUUACAAUCUUUAUGUAGUACAAAGGUCAAAAGGCUCCAUGCAGUGGAACCGAAACAGAAAUGCUGCUGGAUUCUUUUGAUGUUGUGUGUACUAUUAUAGGUAUAAUUUGGUACAAUAAUAUUCAAAGAAAUUCAUGAGCUAACCUUUUUUUCGCAUAAAAAGAUUUAGGCCUUUUUUAAGACCAGUGAUGAUAGCUUACGUACUGAGCCAAGGCUUAAGCCGAGCCACUGAGCAGUCGGCCCCACAUAAUCUAAAUUUUCCGUAGACCAAGUCCACGUGAGGGCCUCUCAUCUUCUCACAGAUAAGCCCUUUCACUCCACUCUUUCUCCUUCCUCCGUUCGUCCCUCCCAACCCAACCCGCCGUUCCU
rnacentral:lncRNA from 1 species